UCCAGUAAUCGCCAUACUCCACGAAGGCCAUAUCGAGGGAGUCAUAGGUGAGGCGUCCUGUGCCGACCAGCCGUGGGCGACUGCAACAAUCGAGGUCAUGGGUCUUGAGGACCUCCCUGGCGGCUUCAGGGGAGGACGUUACGAUGGUAGGGACACCGCCGAGGCGGAUGAACAUGACGGGGCCAUACCGUCUGGAGAGUUUCCACAGAGACUGAUGAGGCAAAUGGCCGAGUUGGUGGAGGUUGCCUAUGAUGGGGAGUGGUGGAGGCCCUGGAGGGAGGUUCUUCUUUUUGUUAUUGAAGUUUUUCACUGAGAGGAGGAAAAGGAGGAGAGGAAGGGAAACAGCAAGCCACGUGAAGAGGAUGUGAAGAGCCAUUGUCGGGAUGGUUAUGUGCAGUAAGAAUACUUAAAAUGUUGAGUUAAUUUGGCGUGGUUGAGUAGUGUUAUAUACAAAAUGGAUGCUGAAGAAUCAACUCUUGGAAUUGAUACAUAGACUUUUCUGAUCUGUCUGUAGUGACGAUUUUUCUCUGAUUAUCCACAAAGACAAAAAUGGUGGAUGAAUCCAUGAUGAUCACUUCUUGCAUAAUAUGACCGAUUCAUAACAUGUUGAUGUUCAAGAUGAUAUUGAUUCCUAAUUGGAAUCUACAGCUUCAUCCUAACGAUUUUCAAGUUGUUUCAACAUUAUUAGCUACCAAGGGGCCUCAAAAAGUAAAGGGCGUGUGUUUGACAUGCUUGACUUCUCCAAUUAUAAAGGAAACUUAAAAACAUCUACCAUCUUCAAUUUUGUUAAGAAAAUUCCAAUAAAGCACAUUGCUUUGCCGUGAUAGUCAGGAUAACAAGAAAUUGUCAAUGGACACAAAGGAGAUUAUUUGAAAGAGUCAACAUAUUUCUCAUCUUGUCUUAUUUUACCGAUAUAUUAUCAUGGAUGGAUAAUUUUCUCAACAUGAAACAAUUUACAUUCAUGCUACUCAAACUUGAUUCGCAUCAACUACAGGCUUGAGUUUGGCCUUGUAUACCUUGCAUUAUUAAAAACAAUUUGUACACGCAUUGAAUUUGUGAAACUAGAUAUUGUACCGCGGUUCUCAUUCAUCGAAUUUCUCAAAUGAUUUCUUUUCAUGCAUGGCCUUAUGAAAAGUCUUGCUUUGAACUCAAUGGAAAAAGGCCGAGAAUUUUCAUUAGAUUACUUGAGUGUUAUAUUACUUUCAUUAAGGUUACCUACGCUAAACGAUUGUUUGAGAUAUCACUUUGGUGGGCUGCCAAUGAAAAUUUAUGCUAUGUAAUCGAAAGGUUUUUUUUUUUGCACCGAGAGUUGCUAGUCCUAAUUAGUUAUGAAGGUUUUCAAAUAUAUUGGUGCCAAAAAAGUCAUAAACCUUUUGUUUUUGUGCCGAUUUAGUCCUAAACCUUUUUUUGGUGCUGAUUUAGUCCUAAACAUUUUUACGUUGUGCAAAUUCAAUCAUUUCCAGCCAAUUUUGGCCGGAAUUUGCUGACUGGACGCCAGCCGGCUGACGUGGCCUGAUCGAUGCUGACGUGGACUACUUUUAAUAAUAUUUUAAUUUUUUUGAAUUUUUUUCUUUUUCCUUUUUCUUUUUUUUCCUUUUUUUUUUCUUUUUUUCUUCUCAUCUUCUUCCUCCAACCGGUCGCCAAACCUCGGCGACUGGCCAGAGGCGACGGCUGGCAAGGUUGAGGUCAACCUCGCCGGCCACCUUGCCAAUGGCUGCGAGGGUGACCUCGCACUGGGCGACAAGGCUCACCCUUGCCAGAUCUAGCCAGGGCGAGCCUCACCUGCCUAGCGCGAGGCCGCCCUUGAAGCCUAAGCAGCGAGUCUCGCCCAUGGCCGACGAGGGCGAGCCCCGCCAGCUCAGUGCGAGGAGGCAGUCGGAUUUAGUCCUCAAGGCCUAUCGUCGUCCUCCUCCGACAUGUCAACACCCGACGGCAUGGAGGCAAGCUUUGCGGCGUGCGCCGAGAGCGCUUUCUCGACAAUUUUCAGGCUCAGGUCUUCGUUCAUUUUGUGACAUCCGAAUUUCGUCGGAACUCGAAUAUGUAACUGUCUGAGACAGGUUGACGAAUUUAUCGUCAAACUACGUCAUUGGCACCACUUACGACUCCAUUUCAUCAUCAUCACCGGACUGAGACAUCACGUUUCGUGAUGGUCUUAUGACAUACCCUCGUGGUCACGUCUUUGCCAUGUCGAGACGAUCCGAUUUUCAUAUAUCUUAUCGUCUUGUCGAAAAUCUUCUUACAUAACACCAUCCGCGAGACCAAGAUUCUUUCCAACUAACACGUUGCCAAGCCAUUUUUCGUGAAGACGUCCGUUGUCUCUCACGCGUGCGUGCACAAGGCAAGGGACCGAGAAUUCUUCAGUCCAUGUGCAUGCAGAAACAAGGAACCCACGGCCACGUCUUUUCCUUUGUUUAACCAGUCAACCAAGAGGAAAUUGUUGACCCAUGCAGCCUUCACGAACCGGUCCUUCUUCAUGCAGCAUACGAAGACACGCCGCACCAAAUUGCUUCUCCCAUCGACAGCCAUUUGGACCCCAUUUAGUUGAAUCGGGCAGUCAACUAAAUGAUGGGCACGUAAGUGCAUGGAGCAGCAGGUGUCGUGGACGAAGGGGAAAGAACUUCCCAUGCAAAGACACGGAAACAUGGAGUUGUCCCCGUCCCCUGCUGCCACGAAAUUUGGACUGUUGACGUGCGCGCGCUCCUAUCCUUCUUCGGCCAGCAGGCUUCGAAACUCAUGCAUGCGGAAGACACGUCCUCUCCAGCUGCUGCUCGCCCGAAGAGCCACCGAAUCAGCCCAUUGUUGACUCUUAAAGUCAACAAAAAUAACCCACGAAGACCUCACUUUUCCCUCUCACGCUCGGCAGUUGUUCCAUCCUCUCGACGCCCAUCUUUCUCUCUUUCUCGGUGUUUUUCUCUCUCUCGGCACCCAAAUUCUCUGUCUUCUUUCUUCAUUUUCAGCGGUGAUUGCAUCGCAGAAAACCCAGAAUUCCUUCACCAUGUCAAUCGUAAUUUGUUGUUCCGCCGGUACUUCGUCGGCCACUUGCACCACACUGCUGCACCGCCCGCGCCACCAACCUCCUGUGCCACCAUAGGCCCAACUUUCGAUCGGUAUCACGUCAUUGUCGCUGUGAACUGGCGUAUUUGCUAACCCAGUGAGUUUAUGCACUAAACUCUUCUUAGUAGGCUAAUGACGUUUAAGGGAUGUUUAGAUUUAUUUAAGUGUAAUUAUUUUAAUUAUUAAAUAUUUUCUGAAAAUUAGGCCGGGUAGCCGAUGACCGGAAUUUUGUAUUGAUUGCAAUGAUGUAGUUAAUUUCUGCAAUCGAGUGUUAAAUUGUGAAAAUUGAGUGCUGAUCGGAAAUUUGGUCAUUUAUUUCAAAAUUUAUUAAUUUCAAUAUUUAUUCAGAAAAUCCCGGGUGUCGGGUUUUAAACACCGAAAAUGGUUUUAUAUACUAUAUAAACCAGUGGGAUUUUGAAAAAAAGGUUAUGAAUUUUCUAGGUUCAAUCUAACUGUGUACCCAUACACGACUAUUUUUCUUCGGAAGUUUUUAAUACGAAGAAAAUAGGCCAGGAACACUAUUUUAAUUGAGGCAUUUGAGUGCAAUACACGGUGUCCUAGGCCGAGAUUGAUUGGCCGUGCGUUGGUUAAGAGAACCCGUCCCCGAACAGUGUCGGAUGGACGUUACCCUAUAUGGGUUACCCACUUGUUGGGUUUCGGGUCGCAGUAGAUUCUUGACCUAUGCUCCUUCGGGAAAGCUGUCUUUGAGAGACAUAGCCAUGCUCAAUGAGGUGAGGAUGCCUGGCUACGCCAAUAGACCGCCGAACUUCAAGUAGGCCGUGCCCUAGAGUGGGCGUAAUUAUCAAUUGGAACGCAUGUUGAGUGAAAUAUCUACGCCAAAUUAUGGGACAAAAUUGUGUGACAUAGAAUGAGACGUGUCAUAAUGAUUUGGCUCUAUAAUCAAGACCCUUGUGCUGAUUUGAGAAUUGGGUAUGGCGUUCCAGUUAUUGGAGCUUAAUUAUUGCUCAUAUCAGUAUGACUAUCUGUGAUAUAAACUGUAUUGACCUACAGGGUGGAUUUGAGGCGAGGUAAGUCAUCUAUACCAAAUGCGUGAUUGUGUGGUUAGGGCGCCUCUGGGCGUAUUACCCUCUUAAUCGAAGUUUAGAGCAUGGACUUGUUGGGACACUGUCUCACUAAUUAUUGAAUAACCAUUUUCAGGUCCUUAAAAGGUGGUCGUGGAGGACCAAGGCCCCGAACUCUAAGGAGGAGGAUUAUGGAGGAUCGGCGGAUGUGUCCUGUUAGUAUGUCAUAAGACAACCUCUUUUGAGAGUCGACCUUCUUGUAGGCUUUCAACUAGACUCGUUUUGUACUUGAAUCUCGUUAUUCAUAAAAGUGUGCUUUUGUGAAUUGAUGUCCUACUUUUCUAUCCUGAGAUGAUUACUGUCAGGGAAUUUAUUUUCGCUUCCGCAUAUGCUUAAAAAUGAAUGGGUUGGUGACUCAUCCUCGGAAGUCGCAAAUUUUAUCGACCAAAGAGGAAUGGGCAUGUGCUUGGGGUUCAAGGCGUGACACACUUCUUUGUCGUCGUCAUCGUCGCUGCUACCACCAAGCGGCAUUGCAGACUUCAGCUUGUGCUCCACGUCGUCUCCUUCGCCGCCGUCGGCUUUGCUCUCCUCCCCAUGCUCCUCGCACCGAGUUGGCGGGGCUCACCCUUGCUGGCCAUGGGCGAGGCUCGACCUCGCCAAAUCCGAUGAGGGCGAGCCUCGCCAAAUCCGAUGAGGGCGAGCCUCGCCAAAUCCGAUGAGGGCGAGCCUCGCCGCCCAGGCCUCGAGGGCGGCCUCGUGCCGAGCGGGCGAGCCUCGCCACCCAGCGCGAGGCCGCCCUCGCGACCACUGGCGAGGUGGCCAGUGAGGUCGACCUCGACCUCGCCAGCUGUUGCCUCUGGCCAACCGUCGAGGUUCAACGAUUGGCUGGAGGAAGAAAAGGAGAAGAAAAAAAUCAAAAUCAAAAAUAAAAAAUCAAAAGAAAAAAAUCAAAAACAUUAAAAUAUUAUCAAAAGUAGUCCACAUCAGCGUUGAUCAGGCCACGUUAGUCGACCAGCAUCCAGUUAGCAAAUUCCGGACAAAAUUGAUCGGAAAUGACUGAAUUGGCACAAUGUAAAAAUGUUUAGGACUAAAUUGGCACAAAGACAAAAGGUUUAGGACUUUUUUGGCACUUUUCCCCUAUGUAAUCGAAUUUGUUUUUUUUUUUUUUUUGCACCAAGAGUUGUUAGUCCUAAUUAAUUAUGAAGGUUUUCAAGUAUAUUGGUGCAUGAGAAAGAUCGAUAUUAUUUUAAGAGCACUACAUAGGGGCAUAUAUGUCCUUUAGAAUGAUAUUCACCGAACAAUUGAUAGGAUAAGAUAUAAAAACAUCAAACUAUAGAUCCGUAGUUCACCAAAUAAUAAAUAGGAUAUGACAAAAUUAUUCAAACCUUUUCUAACUAGAAAUCUGGAAGACCAAAUGCAAUUUUAUAUCCAAUUUUGUUAGAGCAAUUAGCUAAUUGCAUUGGAUUUGGGUGAUUUUCCAUUAUAUCACGAUAAUGUAUAUACAGGACAUGAGGCUUCUGAAAGUUUGUUGACACCUAAAAAUACCCCCACGAGUUUGUGCAAGGCACGAGGGACAUAAAGCUCUAAAGCCACCAUCACAACCAUAUAUUAGUUAUAAUCCACAUUGGCCCAGCCCAAAAAAUCCAUACGAGACAAGAUAAUUAAGGAUUUUGAGAAAUUUUGGGCUGAAUUUCGACAAAUAAAGAUAUAUAAUAUCAUGAUGAAGCAAUAGAACACUACGUGUUGAAGCCAGAGAUCAAUGAUGAAGAUAUAGCCUUAGUGGUAAAAAUAGGCGGGAACAGUUAAAAAGGCAUCAAACUCGAAAGAUGAGCGGUUAAUACUCGUUGGACAAGUCAUGACACUAUUAUCGAACAAGUAUGAAAUGUGGAGUGACUCUUGAGGAGAAAGUAACCGACUAAUUAACGGUUACCAAGUUGGCUUAUAAAUAUCACAAGCUAUCCAAUAGACAACCCCCCUCUCUCAAACAACACACAAAACUACUUUAUAUUGCAUUUAUCUUUACUUAGCUUUAGUCUAACAAUAGUUUAAGAUUCUCAUCAUAGAUUCAAUUUUGGCGAGUGUCUAUAUUCUGGGAAGUGCUGUCAAUUAGGCCCUAUUUGGCAAAUUUUUGUUUUUGUUCCCCGAAACACAAUUUUUCUUCUUUUGUUCCAGGGAACAAAAAAAGAAUAUAAACACGUUUGUUUACAUUUUUGUUCUAGAGAACAAAUUUGGAACAUAAACAAGAAGUGGAAAAAACUUGUUUCUUAUUUCCGGGAACACUUCUGAGAAACACUUUUUUUUCUCUCAUUUUUCUUCUUCUUUUUUCUCUUUCUUUUCUUCUUCUGUUCUUCUUCUUCUUCUUCCUUUUACCAGUCACCAGCCUUGGCCAUGGCUAACACCGGCAACCAUCCAAACAAGGGCCAGCAACCUCGUCGCAGCGUCGCCGACCCCUGGAGAGGCCGAGCCAUAGCGAGGCUCGACCUUCCCAACCGGCGCGAGGCCGGGCCUUGCCAGGCCAGGGCGAGGCCAACCUCGCACUGCCUAGGUGAGGCCGAGCUAGGCUAGCCUCCGACGAGCUCACCGGAUGUCAUCCAGCUGGUUGCCGGCCACGACCAUGGCCUACGACCGGCCAAAAAGAAAAAAGAAAAAAUAUAAUAAAAAUAUUUAAAAAUUAAAAGAAACUAAAAAAUUAUACAAGUUUACCAAAUGCAUUUCUAUUCCUGGAGUAGAAAUUUUUUGCAAUUACCAAACGCGUUCUUAUACUCAUAAAUUGUUCCCUAGAACAAAAAAAAAAACUAUUUCUGUUAAAAAAUUGUUCAUUGGAAUAAAAACGUUACCAAACGUGCCCUUAAAUUCCAGUACUAGCCCAUUGUCCAGCGUCGCUGAUUAGAUUCCGACAUUAUGUCCUCAUUCUCAUCUAGAGACGGUGUUCAUUAGAUGUUGCAUUUGUCUAGAAUUAUUGAUUAGAUUCCAACAUUAUGUUCAUGCACGCACCUAGGAAUAAUGUAUACUAGGUGUUGUCUACACUAUUCAACGUCAUUGAUUAGAUUCUGACAUUGUAUCCUCGUAUCUAUCUUAGAUUGGUGUCUACUAGGUGUUAUCCACACUAUCUAACGUCGUUAAUUAGAUUCGGAUGUUGUGUCCUUAAACUUAGUAGAAGGUAGUGCUUUAUCAAGCGUCUUGUUCAUAUCCAAUGUUGUCGAAGUGCCUUCAUUAUUGUAUUAUUUUUUUAGGUCGGUUCAUUAUUGUAUAGACUACUUUAAUUUUAAUGGGCUUUAAUUAUUUUAAUGAUGUCAUUAAUUAGGUUUCAACAUUAAUUAUCGUUGAUAUUGAAGGUUUGAUAGGUUAGCUACUUCUUUGAUUUCAAGAUUAUAAGGUGUAUAGUCUCAUUCGCAUUUGACUCUCUUUAUUUAAGGCUAAUACAAAACCUGAGUCUCAUUCAAUAAAAAAUCAAAAUAUAAUACUUGGUGAAAGAUAUUUUAUUGCAAGAUCCAAAAUGACGAAACAAAGUUAUAGAAAGAAAAUUGUCUUUGUUGUAACUCUAAAAACUUCUCUAGAAUUCAUGACAACUUUUCUCCAUCAGGAUAUUUCGUCGAUGGUUUGUGCAAGUUGUCUUUGUUUGGCCAAAAAGAAGAGUAAUAUUUGUCUAGAAAUUUUUGGCCCUUUAUUACCUCAUUUGGAGAGGCUCCCUACCUUCCAAUACACUGGUGGGGCUAAAAUAACGGACUCUACACUUACAAAUGAAUUGAGCGGUUAUAACAUGAACCAUGCGGGUGUGAAUCCCAUAUAAUUACUAUUAGAAGAAUAGCCGUGAAGGUCACUUCUCCCACCGUAUUGUGUAGAAAAAAAAAGGCAUGACUUACUAGUCACUACUAAGCAAAAUUUUUCAGUCCUUCGAUUCCACAAACUACCAUGAUCAUUUUUCAUGCUAAAAUCUGCAGCUCAUCCUCUUUUAGGUUUGAGAGAUUGAUAUUCUUUUAAUAUUUUUACUUCUUGUGAAAAAAAAAAAAAAAAACUAAUACACAGGGGCAGUAAAUUUGUAUUUUAUUUGAAACUGCAAGUGUUUCGGGAGAUUAUUUCAAUUAAUUACGAGCAUGCUUAAAAUGAAUAAAAUAUAUAUUACUAUUCUCUAAUGACUGAACUUUCUAAUAACAAGCUAUAACUCAACAAGCGGCAUUACUCUUAUUCAAAAAUAUUAAAACCAAAAAAAAUAAAAAUUUGAUUGAUGUUGAAUCGACCCAUGCAAGUAAAAGGCUUUUAACUCUCAAAGUAAUUUGAGCUCAUGGGAAGCAAAUACAAUUUGUUAAUGCAAAAAUGACUCGCUCAACUGAUGGUCCCCCUUCAAUAAUCACAAUGCACAAAUUCCUCUAAUGGGUCUGUUUAUUAUUUGCCCUGGAGACAAUAUACUCAACGAGUCUUAUUUUCCAUAUAUAUGGAGAUGUUGCAUACUAGAAUAUUGUACCGUACAAUUUUAAGACGCUUGAUCAUAAUCAAGUACAAGACGUUGUGAAACAUGAUGUUUUACAUUUGUCGACACUUUCGUCAUGCGUCAAUUUUAUGCGAUGCCUUUAUCGGCAACAGAGUGAGAGGCACUUUCUUGAACACGGCUAGGCCAGCCCCUUCUUCCAUGUUCACAUCUCCCUCUGUCAUUCCCUCCGGCAAUUCCCAAUCGAAGGAGUGCAAGACAUUGGCAAGCGCCAGCUCGAUCAUCGCCAUGACCAUCGACAUCCCAGGGCAUCGCCUCCGCCCGGCCCCAAAUGGUAUCAGCUCGAAAUGAUUCCCCUUGUAAUCGAUUGGACUGUCCUCGAACCUCUCCGGCACAAACUCCUCCGGACGCUCCCACAGUCCUGGGUCCCGUCCCAUGCCCCACGCAUUCACGUAGACACAGCUCUUCGGGUCGACAUCGUAGUCAGAUAGCUUGAAGUGGCCAAUGGUUUCCCUUGGUAUGAGUAGAACACCUGGAGGGUGUAGCCUCAUAACUUCUUUAAGAACUAACUUCAAAUAUUUGAGCCCGCUGAGGUCCUCUUCUACGACCCAUUUCUUGUUUCCAACGCAACUUCGGAUUUCUUCUCGAGCUUUUCGCAUCACCCUCGGGUUCCUAGCGAGCUCAGCCAUUGUCCAGUCCAUGACAACUGCACCGGUGUCCACUCCUCCGAGAAAUAUAUUCUGAUAGUGACCAUGAAGUCAUGAUUCACAAAAAAGACAAAUACAUCAAUUUUUGCCACGAUAUCGUUUAUAGCCAAAAAAGAGGACGGUGAAUCCAUUUAAGGAGUUCUUAAAUUAUUCCUGCAAUAUAUAGAACCAUCAAGUUUGCUUCUCAAUCGUGUAUAUGAUCUACAUUAAGUAAUACGUAGAGAUUGUAUGAUAUACCAUCAAGAUGGCCUUGAUGUUAUCUUCCUUGAGCCGGACACCCGCGAGCUCAGUCUGAUCUUUCUCCAUCUUCAGCAGCACAUCGACAAUGUCCUCCUUUCCCUCGUUGCUCUUAUUCGCAUUCCGAUGCUCUUCGAUCACCUUCUGAUAGAGAUCGUCCAAAUUGCGAAAGCUCUUCUCCAACCUCGAAUGGAGCCCCGUGAACCUGUCCACAAUCCAGCCGAGUCGAGGGAAAUAAUCAGAUGCCGAGAAGCUUCCCAACAUCGCCAUUCCCUCGUGAACCAUAUCCAUGAACCCUUCGUCUUCCAACUCCGUCCCCUGAAAUGGCUUCCCAAAUGCGACCCUGCAUGUAAGGUGUGUAAUCAAGUCAGAAUUUCUUGUGAGCGAUUCAUGCUUGGCUCUCAGGCUAGACAAGCUUCGGCUUGGGGUAUUGACUUGAAUCAAGUCUGAACUUGAUAAUAGCUAAACAAUCAGGUAACUUGCGACACUGAAUCUUAUCGAGUAUAGUCAAGUUCGAACAUAGAACUCACUGUCAGGUUGAGCUCUAGUUCAUAGAACCAGGCUCAAUAUAUUGUCAAACCUCGAAGAAUUUGAGUAGUAACUAAAGAUGGAAAGAUCGGUUAAAAACUCACUUUUUAACUUAAAUUUAGUGGGUUGAGUUAUAUGUGGUUUAGUGAAAAGUUUAAAAAAAAAAGUCGGUAUGUGCUUACAUUAGUAAAGCCCAACUAGACAUGGAUUUUGCGGGGUCCAAAUUCCUUACGAUAUUCAAGAGUUCGUAACUGACGAAUUUCAUCACUUCCACAAUUGAAAUUCUCUCUCCUACAUACGCUAUUCCACAAUCAUUCCUAAAUUAGAAAGUUUUCUUUUUCUUAAAUAAAUGAUAAAAACAACUUCAUUUUCUAAUUUCCCACGCCAGAAGAAAUAACAGAUCUUAUCAUAGUUUGAUUUGUCAAAUUUUUUGGUAAUUUACUAUUCGCUAAUUUCUUCAUAUUUAAUCAGUUUUUAAUCGGUAGGUUUUUCAAUAUGCUAUUUUCCAUAUAUGAAGAGAAAAACUGCUAAUCAGUUUUUAAUCGGGUUGGGUUGGUUGGAUUGGAUCGGGUGUGGGUCGUUAAGAUGGAUCAGUAUAAUUAGAUAGAUAACUUAAUCUUGACCACUAUGCCCAACCUGCAAGUGAAGUUAGCCGUCAGAGCCAUGAACUUCUCGCUCAUAUUAACCGGAGUUCCGCUCUCUGCUGAUUUUGCGAUCGAUUCGAUCAUAGAUCCCACCUCCUCUUCCCUGAUGUAUCGGAAGGACUGGACUCGCUUCAUGCUAAACAGCUCGAGCACACACAGCGUCCUUAACUCCCUCCAGUAAUCGCCGUACUCCACGAAGGCCACGUCGAGGGAAUCAUAGGAGAGGCGUCCCGUGCCGACCAUCUGCGGGCGACUGCAACUAUCAAGGUCGUGGGUCUUGAGGACCUCCCUGGCAGCAUCAGGGGAGGAGAUUACGAUGGUAGGGGUGCCACCGAGGCGGAUGAGCAUGACGGGGCCAUAUCGUCUGGAGAGUUUCCACAGAGACUGAUGAGGCAGGGGGCCGAGCUGGUGGAAGUUGCCUAUGAUGGGAAGUGAUGGAGGCCCUGGAGGGAGGUUCUUCUUUUUGUUAUUGAAGUUUUUCACUGAGAGGAGGAGGAGGAGGAGGAGAGGAAGGGAAAGAGCAAGCCAUGUGAAGAGGAUGUGAAGAGCCAUUGCCGGAGGAUGGUCAUGCGCAGUGAGAAUACUUGGCCUGUCGAGUUUGGCGCGGUUAAGUCGUCUUAAAUACAAAAUGGAUGCAGAUGAUGCUUUUCUUGUUUUAUCCACAGGGACAAAAAUGGUACGCUUCUGAAAAUAUGACAGGACAUGCGCAAGAAAACAAGUUGUCCGUAAGAAAAAAUUGACACUGACGAUCGAACCAAUCGCGUAUGUCAAUAUAUAAUAUAUCGAAGGUAGCGGCUAGCGUGUGUGGACAUAUCUAAUCGCAGUAGCAGUAGGAUCAGCUAAGUGAACAUUUUCGAGCAAUUAUAUACUUUAAAUAUUACUAAAUAAAAUAUCUGUAGUUCUCAACUAUAGUGUUUCCUCUUAAAAUUCAAGCUCAAGUUCUGAGUUUUGAGUAUGAUUUAUUGACCAAUUAAGGAAAGUGAAGCUAGGUCGAGCUUCUUGAAAACUUAAUCGAGUUAAGUUUGAACUUGAAAAAUUGAGCUCGGGUGAUGCAUCAUCUGACAUCCAAAAACUCCUACAUUAAUUAGUAGUACGAAGAAAAUGAACGCGAUAAAUGUUAUAUUAUAGGUGAAAGUUCUAGUCGGAUUACUUACGCGGAGGUUGAGCUUCUUAAAACUUAAUGGAGUUAAGUUCAAACUUGAACAAUCGUGACAUGUCCUCCCAUUGCCACCUCCGCUUUUCAGCUGCUAACUUUGCAGUCCGGCGGUCAAGAUUAACCAAAGGGCUGACUGUGAAACUUUUUUUAAAAGUAAAGGGAUCAUUUUGAAAAGAAAAAAAAAAGAUUUCGACGAAAAAAAGAAUUCUCAUAAAUGUACUUGGACCGCUAGUGCCAUUUCACCAAAAUAUAAGUAGGGUGGUUUUCAUGUUGCUCCAGCUUAAAAUUAAACUAGAUCCUUAUAUAAUUUUGACUAUCGGAUUUUAAUGAUAUAAUAAGAACUAUUAUUAAAUAAAAAUGAAUGACUAAAUAGUUCAUGCUACAUUGUCUAGUUGCGGCAUACUCUGCAUGGAUAAAUUACCUAAUUGAUAGCAUCUUAGCAAAGUCAUGGUAAUGAACUUACCAAUAGCGAAUACUUAAAUCGCAAGUGGUGCAGAAUAACUGUAACUCAAAAUUGAACAUUUCGUAGGCAAGACAUGACCCUUGUGAUAAUGCUAGAGGGAGCUGCUGAGAUUGUCUCACAACACUCUUUUUUUUGAUAAAUUUACAUAUAUAUCUCGUAGUAACUUAAACCGAAAAAGGUAUUGGCACUAAAAUGUUGAAAUAUGAAAAAGUUAUUAAACAAGUGAAAAUAUACUUUCAUACAAAAAAAAAAAUGUACUUUUUGUUGGCUUCCCAAGACCCAUAUGAAUAAUAUGUAAUUUCGGAAAAAGUAUCAAAAUAGUCCUAAACCUUUUGUAUCGAUACCAAUUCAGUCUUAAACUUUUUAACUUAACCAAUUUAUUCCUAAACCUUUUUACAUUAAUACCAAUUCAGUCCAUCCGGCUAAUUUAAGCCGGAAAUUGUUGACGUGGCCACUGGCGAUCUUAUGUGACACCACAUGGACAAAUUUUAUAAUUUUUUAUAUUUUUUCAGAUUUUUAAAUUUUCUUUUCUUUUUUUUCCUUUUUUUCUCUUUUCUUUUUUUUUUUCUUUGUUCCUUACCCUUGGCCGGCAAGGUAGCCAGCCAACCGACCAUCAUCGGCCACAAGCUGGUCGGGGCGAGGGGCCCCGUGCCGUCGUAGGCCACUGGCCAGGGCCGUCACGCCCUCACCCGCCACAAGUGAGGGCAACAGCCCCCGCCUAGAUCCAGGCAAGGGCUGAAACCCUCGCACGUUGGCUGGUGAGGGCGUGGCAACCCUCGCUCGUGGCGGGCGAGGGUGCGGCGACCCUUGCCUAGAUCCAGGCGAGCUGCGUCUACCGCAUCUAGAGCAUCGUCGCCUCCUAUCGCGACAUGGUCACCCAAGCCUUCGCGGCCCCCGGAGGUUGAAGGAGGUGGUCGGCGUCCCAAGCUCGGGUAGCUUCUAGAGGGAUAACGGUGUGGGGAAGUUCGCGAUCUCGCACCGGAUUAAGCGCAGCGAUAGCGUCGCAAGCCUCACCUAGGCAAGCGAGGCCGCCGUGGCCCUCGCCUGGAUCUGGGCGAGGGCCGCCGCACCCUCGCCCGCCAUGAGCGAGGGCUGCCGCGCCUCACCGGCCAACGGGCGAGGGUUUCGGCCCUCGCCUGGAUCUUGGCGGGGGCCGUCACCCUCGCUUGUGGCCGACGAGGGCGCGACGGCCCUCGCUAGUGGCUGGCGAUAGCUCGGGGCCCCUCGCCCCGACCAGCUUGUGGCCAGCGAUGGUUAGUCGGCCGGCCGGCGGCCUCGCCGGCCAAGGGUAAUGAACAAAGAAAAAAAAAAGAGAAAAAAAAGAAAAAAAAUUAAAAAAAAUUAUAAAAUUUGUUCACGUGGCGCCACAUAAGACCACCGGCCCACCAGUGGCCAUGUCAGCAAUUACCGGCUUAAAUUAGCCGAAUGGACUGAAUUAGUACCAAUGUAAAAAGGUUUGGGACUAAAUUGGUCCAAUUAAAAAGUUAAUGACUGAAUUGGUAUCAAUACAAAAGGGUUAGAACUAUUUUGGUACUUUUCCCUAUAAUUUCUCCAACUAGUUGACAAAGAAUUUUAACGUACUUCAUGAUGGAUUCACGCAACCGUGAGAUUUCGUAUAAGAUAAUAACUAUCGACACAUCUAACAUUAGCAUAUCUGUAUGUGGCUUCUUAAUAAUGCAAUUAACUUUGAAUUUUCGACAAUGUUUACACAAUUGUAAUUAUUUAUUUUAUUUUUUUAUAAUGUUCUGACUACAAUCGAUUAAUGGGACAUGAAUUGUAUCCCUUUUGAAGCUCAUGAUAGCGGGUGAAUAUUGCUAAAACUCCGGUCCAUAUAACUACUAGAUUCAUUUCAAUCAUUGAUCAAAAUAAACAAAUGCUGAUUACCUCGUCCAUGCCUAUGGUGGUUUAGAAUAGGUUUAGGCUCCACAUGAGAAUGUUUAUGUUUCUCUGGAUUUCUGUUCUUUUGUUCCCCAGAACAAAAAAAAGAACAUAAAUCCAUUUGGUAACGUCAAGUUAUUUUUCUAUUCCCCGGAAUAGAAAGUUAGCUUGGGAAUAGACUUGGAGCAGAAAUGAAAAACAAAAAAAAGUUACUUAUUGUUUCCGGGAACAAUUUCUAGAAAUAAGCCAAUUUUCUUUUUCAUUUUUUUUAAUUCCUCUCUCUUGCCACGGCCACCUCCAAUCGCCCAGAGCCACCAUUGAUCGUUGGCCGCUGCCUACCACUGCCGCCGCCUGCCACCGCCCGUCGGUCGCCGCCACCGCCUGCCGGUCACUGUUGUCGGCCGCCAACCACAGCCGCAUAGCCCAUUGACGGCCAAUGAGGUGGCGGCCAAUGGGCUAUGCAGUUGUGGUCGGCGAUGACAAUCAACGGUCGGCAAUCACAUAGUGGCAGCAGCGGUCGGCUAACGAUCCAUGUGCAAGAAUAAAAAGAUGAAUAAAUACAAAAAAGAAACCGUUGCGUUACCAAACGCAUUUCUAUUAUUUUUCUAUUCAAAUAAUAUAAAUUUUGUGUAGUUAGCAAACACAUUCUUUUACUCAGAAAUUGUUCCCUAGAAUAAAAAUAGAAAAGAACUACUUCUAAAAAAAAAAAAUUUCCCUGGCCAAGAAGCGUUGUCUUGCACACCCUUAACCACCCAAGGAGAAAGGUCAUCAACAUCAAACUUUGUCCAACGAAAGACUUGGUGGUAUGUUACAAGACAAAGGACUAACGUAACAUCAUAACCCAAGCGGUGGGUACUUAGAAGGACAAAUUCGAUAAAGCCACCCCAUAUCACUUAAUCCACGAGCAUCGAAUUGUAAUUAGCCGAAGAUUUGUCCACAUGACUUAGAAUCAUCAUGGCUAAAGUCCAAUAUCCUAACUGUCCUCAAUAGAGAUGCACCUCGAUUUGGUCCAACCUAAAUGCUUUCUAUGUACAAGUCGUGACUAUAAGCAUACACCUUUUAUCAGUCAAUUUUUAUCCUAAAAAUUCUAAACUUAUUGCAUUUUUAUAAAUUCACUCAUAAAUCUUUCAAUUUUGUUAAUGAAGUUGUAAAUAUUUUCAUGUGUUGCCAAUUAAGUUCUUUUGGUCAAUUUUAACUAGACAUCAUUGAUGUCGAUCUCGAUAGUGCCACAUAGGACAAUCGCGCAUUGACUUAUUUCUUUUACUUUUCUUUCUAUCAAGUCCGGGAAAGGUUGGCAGUCGACUCUCACCAACCAUAGUUGAGGGCUGCCGAAGCCCUUGCCUAUUAGCACUUGAGAGAUUUGAGCAAGAGCCGCGAAGCCCUUGCUCGCAAUCGAUGAGGGUGUCAUGGCUCUCACGAGGUCUAGGCAAGGGUUAGGACGCCCUUCCUUGUGAUCAGCAAAGGUUGGCUGGCAAUGCAAGCUGAACUUGAAAGAAAAACAGGGAAAAGAGAGAAAGAAAUUAUAAAAAUUAUCUACAUCAACGUCAGCAUCCACAUUGGCAAUUUUCGACUAAAAUUGGCUGAAUGUUUAAGACUUAAUUAGCAAUAGUGAAAGGCUUGGAACUGCAUUGAUAAAACUACAAUAGAUUUAAAACUUUUUGGACAAUUUCCUCUAGCUAAAGUCUAAAACUCCUUCGACCCCAAAAAAAAAAAGGUCGAAAACCCUAAUUACCAUGGAUAGAGUUGCAUCUCGAUUUGGUCCAACCUAUAAGCAAAUUUAUACAUAUAAAUCGUGACUGAGCAUGCACCUUUGAUCGGUCAAUGUUGAUCCACGGCUACCAGAAAUGAAAUAUUGCAAUUUAGUUCAUCACGAGAAUUAUCUUUGGGUGGACCAAUCUACACAUUUGGGGUUUGUUUAUAUAUGUAAUAACUGCUUUGCUUCAUUAAGUCCUCUAAGUUACUGCGUGUUUAGAAGGUGGCGUGAGGACCUUUCCCCUUAAUGCUACUUAUUUUCUGCAUUCAUUCCGAUGGGCCCAAAAUAAUGUUUGGCCAAUAAUACGAGAAGCGAUCCCAAAGACAUAUUCAGCAAGUUCUUUCUCACAUGAAUGUCCUGGAUCUCGGGACUGAAUAUCACAAGAGGAGUCCAAAUCCAAGCAAUAUUGAUGUAUUCGAUUUAUGGAGUUAAAUCAGCGAGCUUGAUAUAUCAUUAACUCCUUUUAAAGUCUAGUUUUCUAAUCUAAUAAAUUUUGUCCAUUAAUUCGGACAUUGCAAUCCUAUGCUGCAGACGUUUAAUAAGCUUUUAAUUGUAUUAUCUAAUCUAUUAUAUAUAGUUAAAAUCUAAGUUGAACGAAUGUUGGUUCCAAUGCUUGUUAUGUGUUACUUCACUUUGUGUCUAUGUCUGUUACAUGGAAGGUGCAAGCCUAUACAAUGAUAACUAUUGAUUCAUCUAAAAUAAUUAGCAUCCAUACAUGAUUAGUAACUUUUUUAAUAAUGCAAGUAACUUUGAAUAUAUUCAGUAAUGUUUACAUGAUUAUUUUCUCCUUUUUGGUGAUUGACUAACCACAAUCUGUUUUUGAGUCAUGAAUUUUAUCCGUUUUUAAGCUCAUGACGAUGGGUGAAUAUUGCCAAGACUCCGAUCCAUAUGUUCAGGUCCAUUUUAAUUGUUGAUGAAUAUAUAUAUAUAUAUAUAUAUAUAUAUAUAUAUAUAUAUAUAUAUAUAUAUAACAAUUGAGGUUGUGGGUCUUGAGGACCUCUCUGGCGGCUUCAGGGGAGGAGAUUACGAUGGUAGGGCCGUUGAGGCAGAUAAGCAUGACGGGGCAAUACGGUCUGGAGAGUUUUCACAAAGAGUGGUGAGGGCAGGUGGCGUAGACAUUGCCUAUGAUGGGGAGUGAUGGAGACCCCGGGGGGAGUUUCUUCUUUUUGUUAUUGAAAAGUAUGUGAAGAGCCAUUGUCGGAAUGGUCAUGUGCAGGGAUAUUACUUAAAAACGUUGAACUAGUUCGGCGUGGUUUAGUCGUGUUAAAGACAAAAUGGAUGCUGAAAAAUCAACCCGUGAAAUUUAUACAGGCUUUUCUGAUCUGUCUGUAGUGAUGAUUUUUCUCUGAUUAUAAUCACGUCUUGCGUCAUAGUAUCACUGAUUGAUAACUUGUCGGUGUAGGAGAGAAUAUUGAUUCUUAAUUAGAACGUACAGCUUCAUCCUAAUGAUUGACAAUUCUUUAUUUCUCCAAUCAUAAAGGAAACCUAAAAACAUCAACCAUCUCCAAUUUUAUUAAGAAAAUUCCAACAAAGCACGUUGCUUUGUCAUGAGAUUCAGGAUAACAAGAAACUGUCAAACAAUGAACAGAAAAUAUUUGUUUGCCAUAGUCAACAUUUUUCUCAUCUCAUCUUAGUUUAUUGGUCAGUAGAUAUCUCCUAAUGAAGGAAUUUUUUUUCAACACACAGCAAUUUAAAUUCAUGCUAUUCAAACUCGAUUCACAUCAACUAUAGGCUCGAGUUUGGGCUCAUAUACCUUGCAUUACUAAAAACGAGAGUGUACAUGCAUCAAGUCCGUAAAAUUAGAUUUUAUUCCUCGGUUCUCUUCCAUUUUCUCAAAUGAAUUUUUUUCAUGCAUUACCUUAAGAAGUUUUAUUUUUUUUGGUAAUUGAGGACUCCACCACGGACCCCCCUGUGCCCAAACGGCUCCUGAGUGCCGGGCCCCCAUAUCUCAAAGGAGAUUAGCCUAACAACCCACCACCAAAGCUCCCCAUUUAAAUCGCUAGCAAUUGCCAGUUUCGAACUCUCGAUCUCUGCAAUGAUGGAAGAACUCUCAACCAACGCAACUACCCACGGAUGGGUACCUUAAGAAAAGUUUUGCGUUCAACAUAGUGGAAAAAGGCCAAUGACGUGAAUCUUCAUUAGAUUUCUUUCUUCUUGGCAAGUAAUCUAAUGAAGAUUAAUCUAGUGAAUAAUCUAGUGUGUAAGAGUUAGUUAAGAGUCAGCAUCUCCCACGUGUUGUCUUAUCCACAAAUUGACAAUCUAUGCCUACUAUGGUCAUAAAAAUGAACUCCACAUGGCAUUUAAUGGAAAAAAUACUAAAAAAUCAUAAACCUAUUACAUUGAUACGAAUUCAAUCAUAAAUCUUUCAAUUAAAUUAAUUUAAUCUUAAAUCUUUUAACAUUGAUACAUAUUUAGUCCAUCAGGCCAAUUUUGGUUGGCCAGCGCUGACAUGGACGUCAGCCAAUGGCUGGACAUUGACUGACGUUGACAUGGCAAAUUUUUGCAAAUUUUUUAAAUUUUUUUUAUUAAUUUUAUGUUCUUUUUCUUUUUUUUCUUUUCUUUUUCCUUUUCUUUUCUCUCUUUUUCCUCCUUGGGAGAAGCUACCUCGCCUACGGCUCUAGGCAAGGCCGGGCGAGGGUUGCAAGCCUCACUAGAGGCUUGCCAGCCACUGCGAGGAAAGUCCAAGGAGGAAGAAGAGAGAAAAGAAAAGAAAAGAAAUUAAAAAAAAACAUUUAAAAAUUACCACGUUAGUGUCCAACCACCGGCCAGCAUCCACAUUAGCGCCGACUAGCUAAAAUUGAUCAGAUGGACUAAAUUAGUAUCAAAAUGAAAAGGUUUUGAACUAAAUUUGUCAAAUUGAAAUAUUUAAAACUGAAUUGAUAUCAAUACAAUAGGUUUAGGAAAAUACAAUAUUGCUAAACAACUUAUACAUCCACUCUUGCUUGAACAAUUGACUAAUCACACUAGAUCAUGGUGAUUUCCCAUUUGUCGUAACUGGGUAAUCAUCGGGACAAAGGCUCUUGAAGGUGAUUGCGAGAAAGUUAUCUUUGUUGGAGCUCAAAAACGACUUCUUUGGAUUUGGUGACAACUUUUCUCCGACAAGACUGGCCGCCCGCUAGCUGUGCAAGUCAUGUGAUAUCGGUCUUCUUCGGCCAAAAAGAAAAGUGAGCAUUUUUCUAGUAAUUAGCGGUCUAGGCAUUUGUUACCUGAUUUGAAGACUAGUAGUUUGCAAUCCUUUAAUUCCACAAAUCACCAUUCACAAAUGAUAAUUCAACAUUUGGAGUUUUGACCUUAAAAGACAUAAAAUAUCAUAAUUUUAUUUAUGCUAAAAUUAUCUACAGCUUAUCCUCUUUCAAGUUUGAGAGAUAGAUAUUCUUUAAAUAUAUUUACUUCUUGUGAACAAAAUAAGCAGUAUUAGUGAAUCUUAGUUUGAAACUGCUUAUGUUUUGGAAGAUUAUUUCAAUUAAUUACAAGUAUGAAAGCUAUGUUACUAUCCCAAUGACUAUGACACGCCAUAGCUCGUCUUAAUAUAGAGAUAUUGAGGGGCAUAACCCUCUUACCGGGGAACAUUACAACCGGAAAUUUUUCUAAAUAAGUGCACUUAAAGUCCUAAAACUUAUUGUGAAAGUAUAAUUAAGUCUUAAAAUUUCAAAAAAGUAUUAUCAAGCCCUUAAACUUGUCAAAUUAAUACAAUUGAAACCUACUAUUAACAUCGUCAAUUUGUCUAAUGGAAAAUGCCAACAUUGAAUUUUUAAAUCAAUUUAUCUCUCAUACGUGACAUUUUUUAUUAUUUUCUUCUCCAAAUCUGAUUUAAAUUAGAUUAAAAAAAUUUAGAAAAAAAAACUUAAAUUUUAUUUUUAAAAGAUAAAACUCGGAAAAAAAAUGGCAGGCCUCACCAAUGGGGCACCACCACUGCCACUCAUCACUGGAGUGGCCAACGAACGUCAUCAACAAGGACCGGCAUUGCCCAAAUCCAAGCGAGUCUCGUUGGCCCCAAGCAAGGACCAGGGAGACGUCGCUCAAAUCUGUACUAGCCUUGCUAUAUAUCGAUUGAUUAUUACUUAGUAAACAGUCAGCAUCUCCCAAGUAUCUUUUAUCCAUUAUUUGACUAUUUAUGCCCCCUUUCCUCAUGAAGAAAAACUCCGUCUGGCAUUUUAUGGUUGCAUGAAGUAUAAUAGUGAUGCUAACGAAUUUUACUUCUAAUCAUGUUAGAGCAAUCCACUAAUCACAUUGAAUUAGGGCAAUUUCCCAUUAUAUCGCCGUCGGGUAUAUAUGGGGACAUGAGGCUCUUGAAGGUUACAUUAACAAAGUCAUCUCUGCUGGAACUCUAAAACUUCUCUAGAAUUCGUAACUACUUUUUCUCAACAUGAUUUUCCACCAUUAGCUUGUGCAAGUCAAGUAAUACCAAUCUUGUUUGGCCAAAUGAAAGAGUAGUAUUUCUCUGGAAAUCGAGGGUAUGGACCUUUGCUACCAUACUUGAAGAGACUUCCUACCUUCUAAUAUGUGGUUGGGGUUGUGUUGAUGGGCUCUACACCUAUAUAUGGACUGAGUAAUUAUAACCCAAGCCAAACAUUUUACAGUGGGUGUGAAAUUUCUUAUAGUAACUCCCAGAGGAAUAGUUGACAUAAAUAAAUAAAUAAAUAAAUAAAAGGCCUAACUGACCAGUCACUACUAACCAAAAUUUUUCAACCCUUCAAUUCGACAAUCACAUUCACUAAUGUUAAUUUAUAAUUUAGACUUUGCAUCUUAAAAGGCAAGAAGUCUCAUUAAAAUUAAAUGACCAUUUGUUUAUGCUAAAAUCUGCAAAUUCAUCCUCUUUUCUGUUUGAGAGAUUGUUUUUCUUUUACUAGAUUUAUUUCUUGUGCAAAAAAUAAACUAGUACGCAGUGUCGGUAAAUUUGUUUUUAAUUUUUAUUUGGUCGAAAUUUGUUUUUAAUUUGAAAAGUGCCUAUGUUUUAGGGAAUUAUUUCAACUAAUUACGAGUAUGCUUGAAANNNNNNNNNNNNNNNNNNNNNNNNNNNNNNNNNNNNNNNNNNNNNNNNNNNNNNNNNNNNNNNNNNNNNNNNNNNNNNNNNNNNNNNNNNNNNNNNNNNNUUCAACGAGGAGCAUCACCCUCUUAUUCGAAAAUAAUACAACCAAAAAAAAAAAAUGUUCAGUGUUGAACUACCCCAUGCAAGUAAAAAACUUUUCUGUCAAAGUAAUUUGCACUUGGGAUACAAAUUCAAUAUGUUAAUGCGCCUGUGACUCGCUCAGCUAAAGAUCUCUCUUCAACUGUCCUAAUGCACAAAUUUAUAUUGUACGCUAGAACAUUGUAGGUCCUAACUUUCACAGGCUUGAUUAUUGUUGAAUUAUGUCUCAUGUUUGAAUCCAUUAUACAAUACCCGAUACGCACAAAACAUUUUCACGUUGAAACGAGGAAGAACGUCAGCCAAGCGAUUAAUUAAAAUGAAGGAGCGUGCGAUAGGAGCCGAAGGGAAUCCCACCCUUGGCGUUGGAAAUAAAGCCUUAGCUCCCUGGGAGUCUUCUCAUUUGUCACCAUAAAAUCUGAAGGGGUGAUCGUCCAAAUUCUUCUACGUUAUUAAAUGCAUGCACAUGGCCAUGUGCAUGCAUGCUUGUAGAAGAAUUGGUUGGUCAACACUUGCUGCUUCUGAAGCUAUCUCGUAGGCGCCCAAUUUUCUUCUCUUCUUGGUCAUCUUUGUGGACUUCUUUCGUCUUGUUGCGGAUAAAGAAGGAGAGAAGGCAGAAGCUCUUCUACGUGUGUCAGUACACGCUGCUCAGCUCACACGCUAACAUUAAAUGCAUGGAGGCACAUGCUUUGAAGAUCGGUGCCUUCUGACAAUUCUGGAGUACAAUAUUAUUUUGUUUCCUUCUCUUCUGCCGAUAAAAAGGAGAAGACGUCUGGAGCUUGAUGAGCUGCGAAAGAAAAGAGCUUCGUAGUGAGCGAGAGAAAAGAGCUCGAGAGAGAGAGAGUGCGAGGCUUGAGCUCAGAGAGGUUUUGUGCGGAAGUUGAGUCCAUUGAUUUGUUUUGUUAAACACCGUGGGUAUCGGGUAUAAAGUAGGGCUGGGAAACACUUGAGUGCAUAUGUGAUUGUAAUCCUGUAAUUCUCCGAUUUAUAGUGGAUUGAUUUGCUGGCUCUCCCCGUGGACGUAGGUUCCGACAUUCGGACCGAACCACGUAAAUUUCCACUUGAGUGCAUAUGUGAUUGUAAUCCUGUAAUUCUCCGAUUUAUAGUGGAUUGAUUUGCUGGCUCUCCCCGUGGACGCUGAUUCAUUACAACAAUUAUAAUUAAUAUAAAAGGUCGUGAGAGAUAUGAUGGGUUCCGUCUAACAACGACUUCAUCAUGCAUCGGUUUCAUGCGAUUCCUUUAUCGGCAUUAGAGAGGCACUUUAUUGGACACGACUAGGCCAGCCCCUUCUUCCAUACUUACAUCUCCCUCCGUCAUUCCCUCCGGCAAUUCCCAAUCGAAGGAAUGCAAGACAUUGACGAGCGCUAGCUCGAUCAUCGCCAUUGCCAUCAACAUCCCGGGGCAUCCUCUCUGCCCCGCCCCGAAUGGCAAUAGCUCGAAAUGAUUCCCUCUGUAAUCGAUCGUCCUGUCCUCGAACCUCUCAGGCACAAACUCCUUCGGGCACUCCCGCAGGCUUGGUUCCAGCCCGAUGCCCCAUGCAUUCACCUGGAUACGGCUCAGUAGGUCGACACCAUAGGCAAGCUCAGUCUGAUCCCUCACCAUCUUCAGCAGCAAAUCGACCAUGUCCUCCUGCUCGUGGCUCUUAGUCGCAUUACGAUGCUCUUCGAUCACCUUCUGAUAGAAAACGUCCAAAUUGCGAAAGCUCUUCUCCAACCUCGAAUGGAGCCCCGUGAACCUGUCCACAAUCCAGCCAAAUCGAGGGAAAAAAUCAGAUGCCGAAAAGCUUUCCAACAUCGCCACUGCCUCGUGAAUCAUAUUCAUGAAACUCCCUUCUUUGAACUCCGUCUCCUGAAUCGCCUUUCCAAAUGCGACCCUGCAUAUAAGGCGUGCAAACAAGUCAGAGAUUCUCGUGAGCGAUCAAGCUUGGCUCUCAGGCUAGACAAGCUUUGGUUCAAAUCUUUUCCAGAUGUGAGUGGAGUUUCUCUAGUUGGAGAAUCAAGUUCGAACUUGAUAAUAGCUAAAUAAUUCGGGCAGCUCGUAAGUCUGAUUGAAUCCAAUGGAGUAUAGUCAAGUUCGUACAUAGAACUCAUGGUCAAGUCGAGCUCAAAUUUAUAGAAUAGACUCAAUAUACUGUCAUACCUCCGAAAAAUUCAAGUAGUAACCAAAGGUGGCAAAUGGGUUAAAGACCGACUUUUUAACUCGCAUUUGGCGGCUUGUGAGUUAGUUAAAAUUUUAAAUAUAGGUUGUUAUGGGUUCAUAGUAGCAAAGCCCAACUAGAUAUGGAUUUUAUGGAUUCACAGCAUCAUACUCAUUUUCGAUCAAUUUAUGGCGCUCAGCAUCAAACAAUUCAUUCACGCUUUUCGCCAUAGCCAUGUCUCCUACUUCCUUGUGAUGAGCGAUUACAGACAUUUAUAUCAAUUGUGACACACCAUUUUCUCUUUCCGCAUUAAAAUUCAUCAAUUCGUUUUUGUUCAUUAAUUUAGCUUUUAUAUGGUCCCGUGAUCUUUUAAUACACUUGAAAAUUUAUUAACUCGGUAUAUACAUUUCCCUAAGCACCGAUUUAUUAACCCUCGUUUGAAUAAAUAUUAUUAUUACGUGUUUAUAAAUGUAGGACUUUAGACGAAUGCGGCUGGCCCUCGCCAAAGCAAUUUGGGCUUAUCCUAUAUGCACCCGAUGAACCACUUUUCCUUAUGAUCAUCAAGAGUUUGUAACUGACGAAUUUCAUCAAAUUCAAAGUCAAAAUCCUCUUUCCUACAUACUCUAUUGCACAAUCAUUCCCAAAUCAUCAAGUUUUCUUUUUCUUAUAUAAGUGAUGCCCGUCUAUUUAGACUUUCCAAAAUAUCAUUCCAGAAACAACUCUUACUCAUAUGAAAGAUAAAAACAGAUUUAUUUUCGAAUUUCCCUCAUCAGGAGAAAUAACUUGCUUGUUAUCGUAGUUUCGUCAAAUUUUUUUAGUAAUUUCUUAUUCACUAAUUUUUUCAAUGUUUAAUUUGUUUUAAAUCAGAUAGUUUUUUUACAAUAAGCUGUUUUCUAUAUUUAAAGGGAAAAACUGCUAAUGAUUGGGUCAGGGUCAAACCGGAUUGGGUGUGACUUGUUAAAAUUGUAUAAUAGAAAGAUGGAUCAAUAUAAUUAAAUAGAUAACUUACUCGACUCGACUCCUCAACUGCGCCACUAUAUCCUACCUGCAAGUGAUGUUAGCCGUCAGAGUCAUGAAUUUCUCGCUUAUAUUAACUGGAGUUCUACUCUUGGCUGACAUCGCAAUCGACUCGAUCAUAGACCCCACCUCCUCUUCUCUGACGUACCGGAAGGACUGGACUCGCUUUGCGCUAUACAACUCGAGUACAUACAACUUCCUCAGCUCCCUCCAGUAAUCGCCGUACUCGACAAAGGCCAUGUCGAGGUAGUCAUAGGAGAGGCAUCCCACGCCGACUAGCCGCGGGCGGCUGCAACAAUCGAGGUCGUGGGUCUUGAGGACCUCCCUGGCAGAUUCAGGGGAGGAGACUACGACGGUGGGGAUGCUCCCGAGGCGGAUGAGCAUGACGGGGCCAUACCGUUUGGAGAGUUUCCACAGAGACUGGUGAGGCAAGUGGCCGAGCUGGUGGAGGUUGCCUAUGAUGGGGAGAGAUGGAGGCCCUGGUGGGAGAUUCUUCUUUUUAUCGUUGAAGUUUUUCACUGAGAGGAGGAGGAGGACGAGGAGAGGAAGCGAAAGAGAAAGCCAUGUGAAGAGGAUGUGAAGAGCCAUUGUCGGGGGAUGGUCGUGUGCAGUGCAAAUACUUGAAUCGUUGAGUUAGUUUGGCGAGGUUAAGUCGUGUUAUAUACAAAGUGGAUGCUGAGGAUGAUUCUUUUAUGAUUAUCCACUAAGACAAAAAAAGGUAUGCUUUUGAAAAUAUGACAGGACAAACACAGGAAGAUAAGUUGUUCGCAAGAAUAACUGACGCUGACGAUCUAACCAAUGGUGUUUGUCUUCACCGGUGAAAAGAAAAGCCUCAAGGCCCUCAUUCAUAGAGGUCAACCUUCGCUGAAUCGAAGCUAGCUACUAGCUUCAGACUAACUUUUUCUAACUUUUUCUUUUGGCUGAAAAUAGAGCGUACAAAAUGUACAUAUUCUCUCUAAUCACUGUAGAAGUUGGAUCGGCUAAGUGAACCUUUUCGAGCAAUUAUAUACUUAAAUAUGACUAAAUAAAAUAUCUUUGGUUCUCAAUUAUAGUGUUCCUCUCAAAAUUCAAGCUCGGGUUCGAGUUUGAAGUACAAUUUAUUGACCUAUAAAAUCAAGUGAACUCAAGGUCCAAUUUCUUGAAAACUUUAUCUAGUUAAGUUAGAAUUUGUAAAAUUGAGCUUGGAUGGUGCAUUACGUGACAUCCGAAAAUUCCUAUAUUAAUCAUAAAAAAAAAAUCAAUACGAUAAUUGUCAUUGGUGGAAGUCUUAGUCGGAUUACUAACAUGGAGAUUGAGCUUCUUAAAGACUUAAUCGAGUUAAGUUCCAACUUGAAAAAUUUUGAGACAUGUUCUCACGUCGCCACCUCCGCUUUUCAGCUGUCAACUAUAUCCUCCAGCGGUCAAGAUUAACCAAAGGGCUGACUGCGAAACUUUUUUAAAAAGUAAAGGGAUCAUUUGGAAAAAGUAGAAGCGUAAAGAGACGGCAUCGAAUUUCUCAGAAAAAGUACUUGGACCACUGGCGCCUUUUCACCAAAAUAUCAAUGGGGUGGUUUUCAUGUUGCCUCCAGCUUAAAACGAAAGCAGUUCCCUACAUAAUUUUGACUAUCGGAUUUUAAUGAUAUAAUAAUAACUAAUUAAAUAAAAUGAAUGACUAAACAGUUUUUGCUGCAUUAUCUAGCUACGGCAUACUUUGCAUGGAUAAAUUUGACUGAUAAUAUAUUGGUGAAGUUGUGGUGAUCAACUCACCAACAUCGGACACUUGAAUUACAAAGGGUGUGGAAUAGCUACAAUUCAAAUUGAACUUUUUGUAGGCAAGGUGCGACCCUUGUGAUGAUGCCUAGAGGGAGCUGUUAGGAUUGUCUUGCCAUACCCUUUUUUUGACAAAUCUACGUAAUUAUACAUAUCAUUAAAUAACUUAAACGAAAAAAGGUGUUGUCAGUAAAAUGUUGAACCAUAAAAUAAAAUAAAAAAGUUAUUAAACAAAUGACAACAUACUUGUAUACAAGAAGAAAGAAGCGUACUUUUUGUUGGCUUCUCAAGACCCAUAUGAAUAACAUGUAAUUUCUCCAACUAGUUGAUAAAGAAUUUUAACGUACUCCAUAAUUGAUUCAUGCAACUGUGAGAUUUCGUAUAAGAUAAUGACUAUUGAUAACAUUAGCAUAUCUAUAUGUGACUUCAUAAUAAUGCAAUGAACUUUGAAUUUAUUCGACAGUGUUUACAUAAUUGUAAUUAUUUAUUUUAUUAUUUUAAUAAUGUUGUGACUACAAUCAGUUUAUGGGACAUGAAUUAUAUCCCUUUUUAAGGUCAUGACAGUGGGUGAAUAUAGUUAAGACUCCGGUCCACAUAACUACUAGAUUCAUUUCAAUCGUUGAUCAAAUUAUAUAACUAUUGAUUCCCUCGUCCAUGCCUAUGGUGGUUCAAAAUAGGUUUAGCCACCCAAAGAGAAAAGUCAUGAACCUCAAACCUUGUUCAACAAAAGACUCGGAGGUAUAUUACAAGACGAAGGACUAGGGUAACGUCAAAACCCGUGUGGUAGGUACUUACAAGGACAGAGUUGAUAGAGCACCACAUAUCACUUAAUCCGCGAGCAUCAAAUUGUGAUUAGCCGAAGAUUUGUCCACAUGACUUUGAAUCAUCAUGGCUAAAGUCCAAUAUCCUAACUAUCCUCAAUAGAGAUGCACCUCGAUUUGGUCCAACCUAAAGGCAAAUUUCUAUGUACAAGUCGUGAUUAUGAGCACACACCUUUGAUCGGUUAAUGUUGAUCCCCCAGCUACUAGAAAUGAAAUAUUGCAAUUUUGUUCAUCACGAGAAUUAUCUUUGGGUGGACCGAUCUACACAUGUGAGGUUUAUGUAUAUAUGUAAUAUCUGCUUUGCUUCAUUAAAUCCUCUAAGUGACUACUUGUUUAGAAGGUGGUGGUGAGGACCUUUCCACUUAUUGCUACUUAUUUUCUGCAUUCGUUCCGAUGGGGCCCAAAAUAAUGUUUGGCCAAAUAUAAUACGAGAAGCGAUCCCAAAGAUGAAUUUAGCAAGUUCUUUCUCACAUUAAUGUCCUAUACCUCACGACAGAAUACCACAAGAGGAGUCCAAAUCGAAGCAAUAUUGAAGUACUUCGAUUUAUGGAGUUAAAUCAGCGAGCGUGAUAUAAUAUUAACUCCUUUUAAAGUCUAGUUUCUAAUCUAAUAAAUUGUGUCCAUUAAUUCGAAGGGUGCAAUCCUAUGCUGCCGACGUUUAAUUAGUUUUGAAUUGUAUUCUCUGAUCUAUUAUAUAUUGUCAGAAUCUAAGUUGACCGAAUGUUUGUUCCAAUACUUAUUAUGUGGUACUUCACUUUGUGUCUACGUCUGUUACAUGGAGGGGUGCAAUUUUAUACAAUGAUAACUAUUGAUACAUCUAAAAUUACUAGCAUCCAUAUGUGAUUAAUAACUAAUUAAUAAUGUCAGUAACUUUGAAUAUAUCUAGUCAUGUUUACAUGAUUAUUUUCUUCUUUUUGGCGAUGUACUAACUGCAAUCUAUUUUAUGAGUCAUGAAAUUCAUCCGUUUUUAAGCUCAUGCUCAUAGUUUGACUAUCUAUGCCUACUUUGCUCAAGAAGAUAAACUUUAGAUGGUAUUUUAUCAUUCCAUAAAGUUUAAUACAGAUGCCAAACAACUUAUGUAUCCGAUCUUGCUGGAGCAAUCGACUAAUUGCAUUGGAUCAGGGCGAUUUUCCAUCAUAUUGCAAUAGGGUAUAUACGGGGACAUGAGAAAAAAAUAUUAUUUAUAUUGAAAUAUAAUUUUAAUUUGUUAAUUUAAGAAAUUUGUUAUUUGAGAAAAAAUUUCUUAUUAUAGAUAUUAGAAAUACUAUUCAUCAUUAUCCCAUCUCUCAUAUGAAAUAAUUUUAUCUGGUCUAUAUCCCCCUUAUAUUUAACUUUAUCCUAUCUUGAGUGGACACCAAAUGUAAAAUAGAAUAAAUUUUAUUCUAUCCUAAAUUUUUUCCUGACAACCAAACGCAACCUAGAGGAAGGGCUAUGAUCAUCACCUUUUGGAGUUCGGAUCUUAAAACUUAAAAGGCAAGAAGUCUCAUUAAAAUUGCAUGACAUUUUUUAUGCUAUGAUUUGCAAUACAUCCUCUUUUCAGUUUGAUAGAGGGUUUUUCUUUUAAUAGAUUUACUUCUUACCCAAAAAGAAAAAAAAACUAAUAAAUACGCAGUGUUGGUAAGCUAUAUUUAAUUUGAAAGUGCCUAUGUUUUGGCAGAUUACUUCAAUUUAUUACGAGUAUGCUUGAAAUGAAUAAAGCUAUAUUAUUUUUUUGAAUGACUGAAUUCCUAGUGACACGCUACAGCUCAUCUUGACGAGGGGCAUUACCUUUUUAUUUGAAAAUAUAAACCCAAAAAAAAAAAAAAAAAAAAUUGUUGAAUCACCCCAUGCAUGUAAAAGACUUUUAACUGUCAAAGUAAUUUGCUCGCUUGGGAUACAGAUGCAAUUUGUUAAUUCACAAGUGACUCGAUUAACUGAUGAUCUCUCUUCAAUAGUCACAAUGCACAAAAUUCCUCAAAUGGGUCUGUUUAUUAAUUGGCUUACAAGCAAUACACUCAAAGAGUCUUAUUUUAUACAUACAUACAUAAAUACAUUGAUAUUGCUAGUAUGAGUACCUAGAGGGGGGUGAAUAGGUAUAUAAAAGAUUUUUCUUCAACAAUUGCACAAUACUAGACAGUAGAAGGAAACGUUAAUCAAAGUAAGACUGAGAGAAGAGAAAAUUGAACACGCGGUUUAUAGUGGUUCGGCUUAUAUCAAGCCCACGUUCACUCUUCUUCACUGACAGCCAAUGAAAUGCCCCCUCCAAAACAAAAGAGAAGUGACAGCANNNNNNNNNNNNNNNNNNNNNNNNNNNNNNNNNNNNNNNNNNNNNNNNNNNNNNNNNNNNNNNNNNNNNNNNNNNNNNNNNNNNNNNNNNNNNNNNNNNNUGCGCCGGGAACUUCUCUAUCGAGUCAAUCUUCGAUCAAUCAAAGGACUCCGUUAUGUCUUCUCCAGCCACGAGAUCUUCUCCAGUUGAUAAAGUUAAAUCUUUAACAAAACAUCCAGUUCUGGAUAACAUUUCUUCAACGGAUUAGAGACUGUCAAUGAGGAUAGACUUUGAGUCUUGAGUCUGGCUGUCCGGAAGUCUUCAGACUUUAAACAGCAGAGUCUGCAAGCCUUCAGACUAGACUGAUAGAAACGUUUUGUCAACUUCAAAACACUUCAAGAAGAUUUCUCCAACAAUCUCCCCCUUUUUGAUGGUGACAAAACUUUCCUGCAGAUUUGGAUAUCUUUGACCUGCAAAACAUUUCUCAAACACAUAUGCAUAUCUUAUAGAGAUAAAUGGCUAACAGAAUAACACUAGAAUCUACAACCACAGAAAAUAGGUUAGUCCAGUAUAUGAUGAAGCCAUCCAUAAGAUAUUAGUUAAUAGAAGCAGUCAAGUCCAAGUCUAGUUCAGUUCUCAUCCAGACACAAAACAAAGUCAAACAGAGUUCAAACCACAAAACAAUCCAACAAACAAUUAAAAGUUUAAUGAAUGAAAAGUUUUUGUUCAAAUCUUGCAUCUCUCCCCCUUUUUGUCAUCAUUAAAAAGGAUGAGAUGAAGUCAAGAUUGCUUGGGAACGCGGACAAGCUGGAAAUCUUCCAUAGACUGAACGAUGCCUUCCAGCUUUUUAAAGUCUUCCUUUAGUUGUGCAAUCUCCUCACUCUUGGCAUUGGCCUGAUUCCUAACAGAGAGGGCUUGCAUUUUAUCAUUCAAUGAACAGGAAGAAGCUUGACCUUCAUUCUUCAAGCUUUGAACUUCGCAUCCCAAGGCAUAAAUUUGACCUCGCAUCUCCAGAGAAUAUCCAUGAUUCUGCGAAAAUCUGCUCCAUUAUCAGUCUGAGUACUUGCUUCGGCUCGAUCUGAUGGAGUAAAUGCAGACGAUGGUAGAUUAGCAUAAUCUCGCAGGUUUGGCGAUGAAACUUCAUGACCUUCCUCUGGAAACUGAGAUGCAUAAACAUCAUCUGGGUCUGCUGGUGAGCGACUGACUCCUUCACUUGCAUCAGGAUAUGAAGACUUCACUCCUUUCUCCUGAUCUCCCCUUGUUUCCAUGCCUACAGGUGGAGAAGAGUGUUCUUCAGGUUCUCCUUCUUCUCUUCUUUCUUCUUCAGGUCUUUCCUCCUCUGUUUCUUUUUCAGCUUCUAUUUCUUCUUCUUCCUUCUCCUCUGCUUCUUUCGUCAUUUGUUCCGAUUCUUUCUAUGGAACAGGACGACUUAAAUUCUUCAAAGCCAAUGCAGAGAUGGUGAUGUCUUCCUCAUCAUCUUCAUCCUCAACGAGGAGAGCUCUUCUUCUCUUGGAUGGAGCAACCAUGGGCUCCUUCCCUUUUCUUUUAGCUGCAGAAGAGAUUUGAUGAGAUUUUGCAGGAGUCUUCUCCUUGAAUUUCUCCAACUUCUUGCUCAGUUCCUUCAGACGCAUUUUGGUCACCAUUUUCAGUCCUACCACCAUAUGAUCGCAUGGUCGAACACAAAAGAUUUGUGGAGGCUGAAUAUUCAGAUGUCUGAAUAACUUCGUAACAAGGCUUGGGUAAGGGAGUUGACCUCUGUCCUUCAUCAUUGCUCUAUACAUGUGAAACAUCACAGUGUGAGGGAGAGAAAACCUUUUUCCAAAGAGAAUGGCAUACAUCAGCUUGGCCUCUGAACUUGAAACAUCAGUCUUGGAAGUUGAUUUCGGUCGGAGGCAAUUAAUCACAAUCUUGUGAAGCAAGAUGUUGAAUGCACCCAUCCUUAAGUAGGUGAUCUUUUCAUCUGUUCUCCUGUCCUUCACCAGUUUAAGUGUGGCCCGAGCAAUGGAAACUUUGAUUGGUUGAUAUCUUCCUCUUUCGACUUCUAACACAUCUGCCAGCAUAUUCAUAUCCACAACAUAGUCUUGGUCUUUAAUGCUGAAAGAGAAUCUAUUCGCAUCUAAAAAGCUUAGAUUUGAAUAGAAAUAUGCAGUUAAUUCAACAUAGGCCUCUGUAGAGUCAGAGCAGAACUUUUCAAGUUGAAGAUAACUGAACUUUUCCCUUAAGUUCACAUUCACAGUAUCCAGAAAAUCAAAAUCCACACUCUUAGGGUUUAUUACCCCACACUUCAGCAAUUUCGAGUACAGAUCAUUUUGCUCCUUUGAUCUGAACAAAUCUCCCAUUUUUCCUUGAUUUUCAACCGCAACACCCAUUUUCGGUUGAAAUUGACUGUAUAAUUUAUCAUCAUCAUUCCCAUCUACAGGAUUCGGCCCCCAGUCACGAGGAUCACUUGAGAUAUUUGCAAGGGUUUCCUCAGCCACCCCUUUUCGAGCAAUUCCCAAACUUUCCAUUUUUCACAGAAAUAUAUAUUCGUUCCCAUGUCCUUUGUCUUUAAGAAAAUCAUCAAUGUAGUUCAAAGGAGUACGAAUUCCUUUUAAGGCACGAUAUAACUGGUAAAUAUAAGCGGGCUUUUGAACUCUUACAGGGUUUGCAUCCUCGAUGAUUUCUUCCUGUUGUUGAUGAUCAACGCCUUGAGGACUAGAUAGAGGAGAAUGACGCUGUUGAGAAUGUUGUGGGCUCGCUUGCUGUUCUGGAGUCACUUCUUCUUCAGUAAGAUCGAAGUGCGUAGGCCCCUCACUCAUUCGCCGUGGUCCCCUGCUUGCAAUUCUCGAAGACUUUCUUGAAGAUGACAUCUUUCUCAGUUUUUGGAAGAUUCCUUGCUUGACUUUCCCAGGAAAGAUGACAACUUUUUGAGGAUUAAACGAAGAAGACAAACGGGAAUGGAGGAUCGAUGCUUUCUAGGGUUUUUGAGAGAAAAGUGAAGAUGAAUCGACAGUGCACGAUCGGUUAAAAAGAGGGAUAAACGAACCGUCACAAAGGAAAUAAAAAAAAUGCCUUUUCAAAAUAACUAUCUUUUUCCGCAAAAAUAGCCAUUUUAAAAAUAACUUCCUUUUUGAAAAUGAAACGAUGCAAUAUUUACGUCAAUUAAAUAUAGCAACAAUUUAAACACAGUCUGACGAUCGUACCUUUUCAAGAUGAGAUUCAAGAGAGAAAGACUUACAGUCUGACGGUCGUACCAAGACUAUCUUUUAGAUAAAGUCUUGUAAGACUGAGUCUGAAAGUCUUUAGACUUUGAUAUCCUCAUACCUCAAAAUGUUGAGUCUGGAACGUAUAGACUCAAAUUGAUUUUUCUUCAAAGGCUUUGUGAAUAUAUUCGCCAGUUGAUUCUUUGAGUCAACAAAUUGAAUUGAAACAUCUCCAUUUUGAACAUGGUCUCUAAUAAAGUGAUGUCGAAUCUCUAUAUGCUUUGCUCUUGAGUGGAGAAUUGGAUUUUUGGUGAGGUUGAUAGCGCUGGUGUUGUCGCAAUUAAUCUCCAUGCAUGAGUCUUCAAUUUCAAAGUCUCUUAGCUGUUGUUUUAUCCAUAGAAUUUGCGAACAGCAGCUUCCCAGGGCUACAUACUCUGCUUCUGUUGUUGAAAGGGACACAGUGCUUUGUUUCCUUGAAAACCAAGACACUGUCCUGCUUCCAAGCAACUAGCAAGUUCCCGAAGUGCUCUUUCUAUCAACUCUGCAACCAGCCAGAUCUGCGUCUAAAUAUCCCAGAAGAUUAAAUUCUCCCUUCUUAGGAUACCAAAGACCGAUGCUUGAUGAUGAAUCAACGUAUUUAAUGAUGCGUUUCGCAGCACUGAGAUGGGAUUCUCUAGGAUCUGAUUGAAACCUAGCACAGAUGCAAACACUCAACAAGAUGUCAGGUCUAGAAGCAGUAAGAUAAAGAAGUGAACCAAUGAUGCUCCUGUGCAGCUUUUGAUCAACUUUCUUCCCUUCUUCAUCUUUGUCUAUCUUCAAAGAACUUGACAUCGGUAUGUCGGUCUUUUUGCACUUUUCUAGUCCAAAUCUUUUGACAAUAUCAUUAACAUAUUUUUCUUGAUAAAUAAAAGUUCCUUCCUUCAAUUGUUUUACUUGAAGACCAAGAAAGAAUGUUAACUCUCCCAUCAUACUCAUUUCAAACUCAUCCUACAUAGACUUAGAAAAUUUCUUAUACAGAUUUUCAUUAGAGGAUCCGAAAAUAAUGUCAUCCACAUAUAUUUGAACAAGUAAGAAACUUUUGUUUUCCUUUUUGAUAAAUAAAGUCGUAUCUACUUUACCUUUGACAAAACCAUUUUGUAUUAAAAACUUACUUAAUCUGUUGUACCAAGCUCGAGGUGCUUGCUUUAAACCAUACAAAACUUUUUUCAGUCUGAAGACUGAGUCUGGCUUCUUUGGGUCUUCAAACCCUGGUGGUUGUUCCACAUAAACUUCCUCAUGGAUAAAUCCAUUUAGGAAGGCGCUUUUGACGUCCAUUUGGAAUAACCUGAAAUUCUUAUAACAAGCAAACGCAAGUAAUAGUCGAAUAGCUUCUAACCUUGCUACUGGAGCGUAAGUCUCAUCAUAGUCUAUUCCUUCUUCUUGCGUAUAUCCCUUGGCUACGAGUCUUGCUUUGUUUCGUACGACUUUUCCUUUCUCAUUCAUCUUGUUUCUGAACACCCAUUUAGCUCCAAUAACAGUUUUACCUUUUGGUUUGGAUGUCAAUUCCCAGACAUCAUUAAUGUUGAACUGUCUGAGCUCUUCUUGCAUAGCUUCAAUCCAGCUUUCAUCAGAUAAAGCUUCUUCUAUGCUCUUUGGUUCAAUUUCAGAAACGAGAGCCACAGCACUAGACUCUUCUUGCCUUUUGGAUCUGGUGCGAAUUCCUUCAUUAAUUUCGCCGAUUAUAAGAUCUUUGGGAUGACUGGACUUAUGCUUCCAGUUACUUGUUGAUUUGUCUGGUUGAUGAUUUCUCUCUUUGUUUGGAUCUUCACGGACAUCCUGAUGCUGGUUUUCCAGAGUCUGAGAUGCUUCUUGAGUUGUAAGCUUUGGAAGGUCUGGAGCAGGUUCAGACUCUUCUUGAUGAGUCUGACUUGAUUCAUCUUGCGUUGAGUCUUGAAAUUUGACAUUCAUUGACUCCUCUACAGACUGGCUCUUCUUGUUAUAGACUCUGAAAGCUUUGCUUGAUGUAGAAUAUCCAAGGAAGAUACCUUCAUCUGAUCUUUCUUCAAACUUACCAACUCGAUCUUUUGCAUUUUUUAAUAUAAAACAUUUGCAACUGAAUACAUGAAAGUAUGAAACAAUAGGCUUCUUAUCUUUGAAUAACUCAUAAGGGGUUUUCUCUAGAAUAGGUCUUAAGAAGACUCUAUUGAUUAUAUAGCAUGCUAUUGAAACAGCUUCAGCCCAAAAUCGUGAAGAAAUCAUGCUUUCAAUUAAAAGAGUUCUAGCCAUUUCUUGAAGAGAUCUGUUCUUUCUUUCCACAACUCCAUUUUGCUGAGGAGUAUAUGGAGAGGAGAACACAUGAUUAAAUCCAGAUUCAUCACAAAAUUUUAUAAAAUCUUGAUUUUCAAAUUCACCUCCAUGAUCUGUUCUUAUACUUGAGAUGACACAUCCUUUUUCAUUUUGAACCUUUUUAGCAAAUUUUUCAAAAUACGAGAAGGUUUCGGACUUACUUACAAGGAAAUAUACCCAAGUAAAACGGGAGUAAUCGUCCACAAUUACUAGGCAAUAUUUCUUACCUCCAAUACUCUGUGUUCUGGUUGGUCCGAAGAGAUCCAUAUGCAGCAACUGUAGUACAUGAUUAGUAGAGACAUGAUUUAUUGGCUUAUAUGAAUUUCUUACCUGCUUUCCCAGAAUACAUGGAGUGCAUGGAUCAGUCUUUUGAUAAGGUAAUUUGGGUAGUCCUAAACCAAGCUGUUUAGAUGAGAUUUUGGCUAAUUGCUUCAUGUUGACAUGACCAAGCUUUCUGUGCCAUAAGCUUGCUUCGUCUUGAAUUGAGAUAAAACAUUGCGAUUCAUUUGGUUUCACAUCCAGAAGAUAGAUGUUUCCAUGUCUUCGACCCAUGAAAGACUGAGUAGAGUCUUUACUGAUUCCAGAACAUAUUCCUUCUUGAAAGAAGAUCUUGAAACCAGUAUCACACAGUUGACUAAUGCUGAGAAGAUUGUAAUUGAGUCCUUCCACUAAGGAAACAUUACUUAUUGUGAGAUUUCCAAUUUUCACAGUUCCAAAUCCCACAAUACUUCCUUUGCUGUUUCCUCCAAAUGAAACUUUUCCACCAUUUACUUGAACAAUUUGAGUCUCUUGUCAUGUGUCUUGAGCAUCCACUGUCAAGAUACCCCUUUACCUUUUUCUUGACGAUGACCUGCAUUUAAAAUAGAGUCUCAAGCUUUCUUUGGUACCCAAACUUUCUUGGGUCCUUUGGUGUUAGUAACAUAAGCAGUAUUAGCCCAUAUUUUCUUAACAGGUUUCCAAACCAUAGGACACUCUUUUUCAAAGUGAUCCGGACUGUUGCAUUUUGAACAUCUGAGAGCAUUUCUACCUACAGAUUUUACAAAAACUUUCUUGAAGUGAUUUUUGUAAGCCUCUCUCGAGAGUCUUUUCUUAAUUCUUUCUUUUACUUUAGGAAAAUCAAUCAAGGGAAUUGUUUCUGCUGUCAUACCUAGACCGGACUUAUUGAAGUAAGGUCUUUCAGCUAAAAGAAUUUUCUCAAGUUUUUCAAACCCUAUUGAAAAUUUCUUUGAAAUAUUUGAUAAGUCUGUUUUUAAAAGAGCAUUUUCUUUUAAAAGAUUAACUUUGUGACAUCCUGAAAUUCGACCCUGCUUCGAUAAAGUGAAAUUGACAUUUUGUCAACGUGUUUACGGUCCUUUUUCUCUGAGCUGAUCACUCACGAGUUAACUAACCUAUUGAGUGAAGCCGUUAAGGGAUGUAUCUGUAGUAAAAUCCCUAAAAGCUACUCAAUUUGUUGGAUUGGACUAAAAUCAUGUCUGACAGAUUUUUAACCACGAAAUUGAACUCGAUUUCGGGAAUCGAAUUUUAAGCGCGUCAUAAUUCCUUUUUAGGACCUGGUCUCAUCGUUCGUCAAUUUAUUGACGAGUCCGAAAUUUCAAUAAAGAAAUUAUCGGAAGAAAAAUUGAAGCCCGAAAAGAAAUAGAAAGGGAAAGAGAAAAGAAAAGAAAAGAAAAAAAUAAUACCAUGUGGUGUUAUAUUAGUUAUUUCUUUUCUCUUCCUCCCUCUUCUUUUCUUUCUUUUUCUUUUUUCUCUCUCUUCUCUCUCUUCUUUCCCUCCCCCUCGUGCGAAACCCUUCCCCACCGCCUAUUCUCUCUCUCUUUUCCUCUUUGACUAGUCAAUGCUUAUCUCUCUCUUCUCUCUCCUCUCUCUUCCUCCUUCCCGCACAUGACAGAACCAGCUUCUUCUUCUCCUUCUUUCUUCGCGAGCGAACCAGAACCAGAAGCUGCAGCUCCGUCGUCGCCCGUCCCGCCGCCGCACCGCCGCUCGUACGCCCGCGACAGCCCNNNNNNNNNNNNNNNNNNNNNNNNNNNNNNNNNNNNNNNNNNNNNNNNNNNNNNNNNNNNNNNNNNNNNNNNNNNNNNNNNNNNNNNNNNNNNNNNNNNNNNNNNNNNNNNNNNNNNNNNNNNNNNNNNNNNNNNNNNNNNNNNNNNNNNNNNNNNNNNNNNNNNNNNNNNNNNNNNNNNNNNNNNNNNNNNNNNNNNNNNNNNNNNNNNNNNNNNNNNNNNNNNNNNNNNNNNNNNNNNNNNNNNNNNNNNNNNNNNNNNNNNNNNNNNNNNNNNNNNNNNNNNNNNNNNNNNNNNNNNNNNNNNNNNNNNNNNNNNNNNNNNNNNNNNNNNNNNNNNNNNNNNNNNNNNNNNNNNNNNNNNNNNNNNNNNNNNNNNNNNNNNNNNNNNNNNNNNNNNNNNNNNNNNNNNNNNNNNNNNNNNNNNNNNNNNNNNNNNNNNNNNNNNNNNNNNNNNNNNNNNNNNNNNNNNNNNNNNNNNNNNNNNNNNNNNNNNNUAGACGUGGUCUACUAAUAAUGGAAGUGCCUCGGGAUUUUUCCCGACCCUUAGUGGGCUCCAAUUAGGCUUUUCGGGCCUAAGUGGAUUUUUUUAGUAUUUAAAUAUUAAUUUUCGGAAUUAAAUUAAAUAAUUAUUUAUUUUCCGAAAAUUCAACUGAGAUGGCCCGGGACCGGAAUAUUGUGCUGAUGACCGUGGUGAAGUCCGUUUAGUUAAUCGGGCUUUAUUCUGAGCUAAAUUGAAUUUUUAAUAUUAAUUAUUUAAUUUUCGAAAUUAAUAAAUUAAUUAAUUAUUUUUCGGAAAUUAAGAUUUUGAUGGCCGACGACCAAAAUCUCGUGCUAAUCGUCGUGGCGUAGUCCAUUUAUUUAUUUGAGCUCCACGUUGCGUGGAAUUAAAUAAAUUGUGAUAUUUUUGGGGAUUUACCCUAAAUUGAUUGGAAUUGAUUGAGAUUGAAUUAUUGAUUGGUAAAUGGCCAAGUAUGUUUAUUCAUUGUUGCAAUGCCUUGUUGAGUUGUAAAGUGAGUAGAAUUGUGAGAGUGAUUCGAAUAUACUCUUGGCUAAGAUCCAUCAGGUAUGUUAAUAUCGUGUGAAAAUUGAGUGAGUUGAUGAGUAUGUGGGGAUUCAUCCCAAGAUUGAUCAAUGUCGGUAUUCAAUUAGAAUUUGACUAUGAGAGGUUGUGAGUUGAACCUCGAAAGCCGCCGAAAUAUGGCUAUGCCAGUUGGGCCGAGAUUUGCCACCGAAUUUGGAGUCGGUCGUGCCUGAUAAGGCCGUAAUCUGCCACCUAUUAAAGGUCGCGCCCGUUGGGCCGUAAAUUGCCACCUAUUAAAGGUCGCGCCUGUUAAGGCCGUAAUUUGCCACCCGAUAAGGGUCGCGCCUGAUAAGGCCGUAAUUUGCCACCAUUAAAGGUCACGCCCAUUGGGCCGUAAUUUGCUACCUAAAGAUAGGUCGUGUCCUUCGGGACUGUAAUUUGUUGCCAAGAAAUUUGGUAGUCUAUGCUUGUGAAGUCGUGAGUACGAUUUGAACCUGAAUAAGGGAAACGACUGGGGAAUGGUCGAAUUGACAUGAAAUCGACUAGGUCGAUGGAUCGAGAUAUUGAUGUAAUUGCUUUGGUGCCUAUUGAACUGUGCUAAUAUGCAGGUGGAGUCUGAGGCCAAGGUAAGUCCUCUGCCAUGUGCGUGUUUAGGCAGCCUAUAGUAUAAUAGUUUACUAAUCGGGCUUAGUGGGGUAGAACUCGCUGAGACGUAGUCUCUUCCCGGUUUGGGGAAAAACAUUUCAGGACCCCGCUGAGGAGCUAAGGAGGAGUCUGAGAAGGAGAACUCGGAGGUGAAACUUAAGGAGAAAGAUUUUUUGGGAGAAGAUGAUAAUCCCGAGAAAGGGCCUUGAGUACAGUCUGGAUGGAUUGAGAUCCUAUCUUCUUUUGAGAUCUCCAUUUUGAUAUGAAUAGUUUUGAAGUGGUUUGUGUUUUGUAUAAAAGUUUGGUUAUAAAUUUCAAUAUGAAAAAUAUGGCCCUACUUUUCUAUCCCAUUAUUUUAUUAUCUGGGGAUUUAUAACUGCUUCCGCAUGUGCAUAAUAAUUGAAAGGGUCGGCGAUACAUUGUCCUGGGAUAUCGCAUUUUAAAAUCGACCAAGUAAAAGGAUGUGUUCGUGCCCGAGGAUUGGGGCGUGACAAUCUUCAUUUUCUUUAAGAGUGGAAACAGUCAAGUCUAGACUUUUAACUCUUUCUACUAAAACAUUUUCCUUUUGUUUUAGAGCUGAGUUUUCCUUUUUCAGUUCGGAAAUUCUUUUGAGAGAAUUCUUAAGACUAAAACACAGUUCAUCAAUGUAUUUAGAAACUUUGACAGGAAUUUUAAAAUUACUUGCCUCAAAUUCACUGUCUGAGUCUGAUCCAGAGUCUGAGUCUGAUUGUGCCAUCAGACAUAGAUUGUCAUAUUCAUUAUCACUUUCUUCACACUCUGUAUCACUCCAGGUUUCGGCUUUGAGAGCUUUUCGAAAUUUUUCAGCUUUUCCUUUAUUCUUCUUCAGAAGAGGACAGUUGGGUCUGAUGUGUCCAUUUUUCUUACAUUCAAAGCAGACUACGUCUUUGUUUGGUUCCUCAUCAUCAACAGACUUGGUCUGCUGUCUUUGAAAGCUUUGUUUCUUUGAGUUGAACCUUCUUCCUUUUCUAUUCAGUUUUCUGAAUCUUCUUAUCAUGAGAGCAAGCUCCUCAUCGUCCAUAUCUUCUUCAGAAUCUGUAUCAUCAGAAUCAUCAUUUGAUUUUAAUGCAAUGGAUUUCUUACCUUUUGGAUCUUCAUCUUCAUUGAUCCGUUCCACUUCAUAAGACUGAAGAGUUCCAAUUAGCUCGUCGACAGAUAGUGGCAUAAUUCUUUGCGUCUCUCUUAUCGAAGUCUUUAUGUGAUUCCAAUCCCUGGAGAGUCCACGCAGUAGCUUGUUUACCUUCAUGGGAUCAGAAGUUGGUUGACCUUGAUUUUCAAGACCAUUCACAAUAUCUGUAAAAUGACUAAACAUGUCAGAUAUAGAUUCUCCUGGUUUCAUUCUGAAGGCUUCGUAUUGACCGAGAAGAAUGUUGAUUCUUGUUUCCUUCACUCAAUCUGUUCCUUCAUAGGUGAUAUGCAAUCUGUCCCAAACUUCUUUUGCUGUAACACAAGAAGAUAUUCUAUUAUAUUCAGUUGGUGACAAAGCACAAUAUAAGGAAUAAAUUGCUUUUGCAUCGAGUGCUUGUCUCUUGAUUAUCUCUUCCCGAGUCAUUUCGCUGGUCUCAUCAGUUUCUUUUCCUCUUUCAGAGACUGAUGCAGUGGUAGGAGUAAUUCCUUUUUCUACAACGUCCCAUUCCAGAGGAUCCUUUGAUCGAAGGAAAGCUUUCAUCUUGUUCUUCCAGAUGUUGUAAUCCUUUCCAUCAAAGUAUGGUGGUCUUGUAUUGCUUUGCCCUUCCAUCAGCCCUGGUGCUAGCAUACUAGCCAUGAAUCUUUUACUACGAAGUAAAACACUUCAAAUAAAGUAAGUACACAGGCUCUGAUACCAAUUGAUAUUGCUAGUAUGAGUACCUAGAGGGGGUGAAUAGGUAUAUAAAAGAUUUUUCUUCAACAAUUGCACAAUACUAGACAGUAGAAGGAAACGUUAAUCAAAGUAAGACUGAGAGAAGAGAAAAUUGAACACGCGGUUUAUAGUGGUUCGGCUUAUAUCAAGCCUACGUCCACUCUUCUUCACUGACAGCCUAAUGGCUGGAUUCUACUAUGAACAAAAGAGAAGUUACAGCACAGCUUUGCCUUGAUUCCACAGUGUAGAUGUUCUACCACACCUCCUCAAGAUUUCUCACAAAUAUAGACUCUCUUUUGUAUACAAGUAUUCGCUCAAAGGAUUUGUCUAAACAAAAAGGAGCUUCAGACUUUGGAAUUAUUCUAUCGCGCACACCUUGAACAACUAAGACCGUCUUCCUUAUAUACUUCUUUAUGCCAUCAUACCCGUUGGCACUUACCAAAGGAAUUCCUCCAAUCUACCCGUUGGACAGAAUCAAUUAGGAAGAUUGUUCAAGCUAUUAAAGGAACGUGUUGAUAGCCCAUCAAUCAUGUUCGCCCAUACAAUCAGGAUCUCGGUUUCCAUAAGCAGAACCUUCCAAUAAUAUUUAGGCAAUCACCGGAUCUUCAAUUAUCGAGUCAAUCUUCGAUCAAUCAAAGGACUCCGUUAUGUCUUCUCCAGCCACGAGAUCUUCUCCAGUUGAUAAAGUUAAAUCUUUAACAAAACAUCCAGUUCUGGAUAACCUUUCUUCAACGGAUUAGAGACUGUCAAUGAGGAUAGACUUUGAGUUUUGAGUCUGGCUGUCCGGAGGUCUUCAAAUUUUAAACAGCAGAGUCUGCAAGCCUUCAGACUAGACUGAUAGAAACGUUUUGUCAACUUCAAAACACUCAAAGAGUCUUAUUUUAUACAUACAUACAUAAAUACAUACAUACAUACAUACAUAUAUAUGGAGUUAUUGUGUGCUAGAACAUUGUACCGUACAACUUUAAGAUGCUUAAUCAUAAUUAAGUAUAAAACGUUGUGAGAUAUGAUGGCUUUCAUUUAACAACGAUUUUGUUAUGCAUCCAUUUCACGCGACGCUUUCACCGGCAACAGAGUGAGAGGUACUUUCUUGAACACGGCUAGUCCAGCCCCUUCUUCCAUGCUCACGUCUCCCUCUGUCAUUCCCUCCGGCAAUUGCCAAUCGAAGGAGUGCAAGACAUUGGCAAGCGCCAGCUCGAUCGUUGCCAUGGCCAUUGACAUCCCAGGGCAUCCCCUCCGCCCCGCCCCAAAUGGUAACAACUCGAAAUGAUUCCCCUUAUAAUCAAUUGGACUUUCCUCGAACCUCUCCGGCACGAACUCCUCCGGGCGCUCCCACAGGCCUGGGUCUCGCCCGAUGCCCCAUACAUUCACCAGGACACGACUCUUUGGGUCAACAUCGUAGCCAAAUAGCUUGAAAUGGUCCAUGGUUUCCCUUGGAAGGAGUAGUGCACCUGGAGGGUGUAGCCUCAUCACUUCUUUGAGUACUAACUUGAGAUAUUUGAGUUUGCUAAGGUCAUCUUCUACGACCCAUUUCUUGUUUCCAACGCAACUCCGGAUCUCUUCUUGAGCUUUUCGCAUCGCCUUGGGUUCCUGACGAGCUCGGCCAUUGUCCAGUCCAUGACGACUGCACCGGUGUCCACCCCUCCUAGAAAUAUAUCCUGAUAACGACCAUGAAGUCAUGAUUCACAAAAAAAAAGACAUAUAGAUCAAUUUUUGCCAUGAUAUCAUUUAUACCCGAGAAACACUGUGUAUUCAUUUAAGGAGUUCUUAAAUUAUAUCCUGCAAUAUAUAGAACCUUCGAUUUUGCUUCUCGAUUGUGUAUAUGAUCUACAUUAGGUAAUACGUAGGGAUUGUAUGAUGUACCAUCAAGAUGGCCUUGAUAUUUUCUUCCUUCAGCCGGACCCCGGCGAGCUCAGUCUGAUCUUUCUCCAUCUUCAGCAGCAAAUCGACAAUGUCUACCUCUUCCUCGUUUCUCUUAUUUGAAUUCCGAUGCUCUUCGAUCACCUUCUGAUAGAAAACGUCCAAAUUGCGAAAGCUCUUCUCCAACCUCGAAUGGAGACCCGUGAACCUGUCCACGAUCCAGCCGAAUUGAGGGAAAUAAUCAGAUGCCGAGAAGCUUCCCAACAUCGCCACUGCCUCGUGAAUCAUAUGCAUGAACCUUCCGUUUUCGAACUCCAUCCCGUGAAAUGCCUUCCCAAACGCAACCCUGCAUGCAAGGUGUGCAAACAAGUAGUUUCUAGUGAGCGAUUCAUGCUUCGCUCUCAGGCUUGACAAACUUCCGUUUGGAGCAGUGACUUGAAUCAAAGCUGAAGUUGAUAAUAGCCAAAUAAUCGCCUAGCUUGUAACACUGAUCGAAUCUAAUUAAACAUAGUCAAGUUCGAACGUAGAACUCAUCGUCAACUUGAGCUUGAGUUUAAAGAACGAGGCUCAAUAUGUUGUCGAACCCUGAAGAAUUCGAGUAGUGAUUAACGAUGGCAAAAUGGGUUAAAGAGCCAACUUUUUAUUCAAAUUUAGAGGGUUGAGUUUAUAUGCGGGUUAGUUAAAAGUUAAAAAACAGUUUGUUAUGAAUUCAGAGUAAUAAAGCCCGACUAGAUAUGAAUUUUACGAAUUUACAAUAUAUUCAUUUUCAACCAAUUGCUAGCACUUAGGCGAUUGCUCGGCAUCAAACAAGUCGUCCAUACUUUUCACCAUGGCCAUAUCUCCUACUUCCUUGUGAUGAGUGAUGAGAGACAUAAGUAUAUAAAUUGUCGACGCAUGCCUCUCUUUCUACGUUAAAAUUUAUCAAUCCAUUUUCUUUCAUUAAUUGGCUGUUUAUAUGGUCGCGUGAUCAUUAUUUAAUACACAUGAAAAGUUAUUGAGUCGAUGUAUGCCCUACCUAACGAUGAAUCAAUAUAAUUAAAUGGAUAACUUAGUCGACUGGACUCCUCAACUACACUACUAUGCCCUACCUGCAAGUGAAGUUAGCCGUCAGAGCCAUGAACUUCUCGCUCAUAUUAAUCGGAGUUCCACUCUCUGCUGAUUUUGCAAUCGACUCGAUCAUAGAUCCCACCUCCUCCUCCCUGAUGUAUCGGAAGGAGUGGACUCGCUUUGCACUGAACAACUCAAGCACACACAACUUCCUUACCUCCCUCCAGUAAUCGCCAUACUCCACGAAGGCCAUAUCGAGGGAGUCAUAGGUGAGGCGUCCUGUGCCGACCAGCCGUGGGCGACUGCAACAAUCGAGGUCAUGGGUCUUGAGGACCUCCCUGGCGGCUUCAGGGGAGGACGUUACGAUGGUAGGGACACCGCCGAGGCGGAUGAACAUGACGGGGCCAUACCGUCUGGAGAGUUUCCACAGAGACUGAUGAGGCAAAUGGCCGAGUUGGUGGAGGUUGCCUAUGAUGGGGAGUGGUGGAGGCCCUGGAGGGAGGUUCUUCUUUUUGUUAUUGAAGUUUUUCACUGAGAGGAGGAAAAGGAGGAGAGGAAGGGAAACAGCAAGCCACGUGAAGAGGAUGUGAAGAGCCAUUGUCGGGAUGGUUAUGUGCAGUAAGAAUACUUAAAAUGUUGAGUUAAUUUGGCGUGGUUGAGUAGUGUUAUAUACAAAAUGGAUGCUGAAGAAUCAACUCUUGGAAUUGAUACAUAGACUUUUCUGAUCUGUCUGUAGUGACGAUUUUUCUCUGAUUAUCCACAGACAAAAAUGGUGGAUGAAUCCAUGAUGAUCACUUCUUGCAUAAUAUGACCGAUUCAUAACAUGUUGAUGUUCAAGAAGAUAUUGAUUCCUAAUUGGAAUCUGCAGCUUCAUCCUAAAGAUUUUCAAGUUGUUUCAACAUUAUUAGUUACCAAGGGGCCUCAAAAAGUAAAGGGCGUGUGUUUGACAUGCUUGACUUCUCCAAUUAUAAAGGAAACUUAAAAACAUCUACCAUCUUCAAUUUUGUUAAGAAAAUUCCAAUAAAGCACCUUGCUUUGCCGUGAUAGUCAGGAUAACAAGAAAUUGUCAAUGGACACAAAGGAGAUUAUUUGAAAGAGUCAACAUAUUUCUCAUCUUGUCUUAUUUUACCGAUAUAUUAUCAUGGAUGGAUAAUUUUCUCAACAUGAAACAAUUUACAUUCAUGCUACUCAAACUUGAUUCGCAUCAACUACAGGCUUGAGUUUGGCCUUGUAUACCUUGCAUUAUUAAAAACAAUUUGUACACGCAUUGAAUUUGUGAAACUAGAUAUUGUACCGCGGUUCUCAUUCAUCGAAUUUCUCAAAUGAUUUCUUUUCAUGCAUGGCCUUAUGAAAAGUCUUGCUUUGAACUCAAUGGAAAAAGGCCGAGAAUUUUCAUUAGAUUACUUGAAUGUAUAUUACUUUCAUAAAGGUACUACGCUAAACGAUUGUUUGAGAUAUCACUUUGGUGGGCUGCCAAUGAAAAUUUAUGCUAUGUAAUCGAAAGUUUUUUUUUUUUUUUUUGGCACCGAGAGUUGUUAGUCCUAAUUAAUUAUGAAGGUUUUCAAGUAUAUUGGUGCCAAAAAAGUCCUAAACCUUUUGUAUUUGUGCUGAUUUAGUCCUAAACCUUUUUUUAGUGCUGAUUUAGUCCUAAACAUUUUUACGUUGUGCAAAUUCAGUCAUUUCUAGCCAAUUUUGGUCAGAAUUUGCUGACUAGACGCCAGUCAGCUUACGUGGCCUGACCGAUGCUGACAUGGACUACUUUUAAUAAUAUUUUAAUAUUUUUGAAUUUUUUUUUCUUUUUUUCUUCUCAUCUUCUUCCUCCAGUCGGUCGCCAGACCUCGUCGCCUGGCUCAACCUCGCCGGCCACCUCGCCAAUGGCUGCGAGAGUGACCUUGCACUGGGCGGGAAGGCUCGCCCUUGCUAGAUCUAGCCAAGGCGAGCCUCACCUGCCUGGCGCGAGGCCGCCCUUAAGGCCUAGGCAGCGAGCCUCGCCCAUGGCCGGCGAGGGCGAGCCCCGCCAGCUCAGUGCAAGGAGGCAGCCGAAUUCAGUCCUCGAGGCCUAUCGUCGUCCUCCUCCGACAUGUCGACACCCGGCGGCAUGGAGGCAAGCUUUGCGGCGCGCGCCGAGAGCACCUUCUCGACGAUUUUCAGGCUUGGGUCUUCGUUCACUUUGUGACAUCCGAAUUUCGCCGGACCUCGAAUAUGUAACUGUCUGAGACGGGUUGACGAAUUUAUCAUCGGAUUACGUCAUUGGCACUACUUACGACCCCAUUUCAUCACCAUCGCUAGACCGAGACAUCACGUUUCGUGAUGGUCUUAUGACAUACCCUCGUGGUCAUGUCUUUGCCACGUCGAGACGAUCUGAUUUUCAUAUAUCUUAUCGUCUCGUCGAAAAUCUUCUUACGUAACACCAUCCGCGAGACCAAGAUUCUUUCCAACUAACACGUUGCCAAGCCAUUUUUCGUGAAGACGUCCGUUGUCUCUCACGCGUGCGUGCACAAGGCAAGGGACCGAGAAUUCUUCAGUCCAUGUGCAUGCAGAAACAAGGAACCCACGGCCACGUCUUUUCCUUUGUUUAACCAGUCAACCAAGAGGAAAUUGUUGACCCAUGCAGCCUUCACGAACCGGUCCUUCUUCAUGCAGCAUCCGAAGACACGCCGCACCAAAUUGCUUCUCCCAUCGACAGCCAUUUGGACCCCAUUUAGUUGAAUCGGGCAGUCAACUAAAUGAUGGGCACGUAAGUGCAUGGAGCAGCAGGUGUCGUGGACGAAGGGGAAAGAACUUCCCAUGCAAAGACACGGAAACAUGGAGUUGUCCCCGUCCACUGCUGCCACGAAAUUUGGACUGUUGACGUGCGCGCGCUCCUAUCCUUCUUCGGCCAGCAGGCUUCGAAACUCAUGCAUACGGAAGACACGUCCUCUCCAGCUGCUGCUCGCCCGAAGAGCCACCGAAUCAGCCCAUUGUUGACUCUUAAAGUCAACAAAAAUAACCCACGAAUACCUCACUUUUCCCUCUCACGCUCGGCAGUUGUUACAUCCUCUCGACGCCCAUCUUUCUCUCUUUCUCGGUGUUUUUCUCUCUCUCGGCGCCCAAAUUCUCUGUCUUCUUUCUUCAUUUUCAGCGGUGAUUGCAUCGCAGAAAACCCAGAAUUCCUUCACCAUGUCAAUCGUAAUUUGUUGUUCCGCCCAUACUUCGUCGGCCACUCGCACCACACCGCCGCACCACCCACGCCACCAACCUCCUGCGCCACUGUAGACCCAAGUUUCGAUCGCUAUCGCGUCAUUGUCGCCGUGAACCGGUGUAUUUGCUAACCCGGUGAGUUUAUGCACUAAACUCUUCUUAGUAGGCUAAUGACAUUUAAGGGGUAUUUACAUUAAUUUAAGUGUAAUUAAUUUAAUUAUUAAAUAUUUUUUGGAAAUAAGGCCGGGGUAGUCGAUGAUCGGAAUUUUGUAUUGAUUGCAAUGAUGUAGUUAAUUUCUGCAAUCGAGUGUUAAAUUGUGAAAAUUGAGUGCUGAUCGGAAAUUUGGUCAUUUAUUUCAAAAUUUGUGAAUUUCAAUAUUUAUUUAAAAAAUCCCGGGUGUCGGGUUUUAAACACCGAAAAUGGUUUUAUAUAAUAUAUAAACCAGUGGGAUUUUGAAAAGAAGGUUAUGAAUUUUCCAGGUUCAAUCUAAUCGUAUACCCACACACAACUAUUUUUCUUCGGAAGUUUUUAAUAUGAAGAAAAUAGGGCAGGAACACUAUUUUAAUUGAGGCAUUUGAGUGCAAUGCACGGUGUCCUAGGCCGAGAUUGAUUGGUCGUGCGUUGGUUAAGAGAACCCGUCCCCGAACUGUGUCGGAUGGACGUUAUCCUAUAUGGGUUACCCACUUAUUGGGUUUUGGGUCACAAUAGAUUCUGGACCUAUGCUCAUUCGAGAAAGCUGUCUUUGAGAGACAUAGCCGUGCUCAAUGAGGUGAGGAUGCCUGGCUACGCCAGUAGACCGCCGAACUUCAAGUAGGCCGUGCCCUAGAGUGGGCGUAAUUAUCAAUUGGAACGCAUGUUGAGUGAAAUAUAUGUGCCAGAUUAUGGGACAAAAUUGUAUAACAUGGAAUGAGACGUGUCAUAACGAUUUGGCCAUAUAAUCAGGACCCCUGUGCUCAUUUGAGAAUUGAGUAUGGCGUUCCAGUUAUUGAAGCUUAAUUAUUGCUCGUACCGGUAUGGCUAUCUAUGAUAUAAACUGUACUGACCUGUAAGGUAGAUCUGAGGCGAGGUAAGUCAUCUAUACCAAAUGCGUGAUUGUGUGGUUAGGACGCCUUUGGGCAUAUUACCCUCCUAAUCGAGGUUUAGAGCAUGGACUUGCUGGGACAUUAUCUCAUUGGUUAUUGAAUAACCAUUUUCAGGUCCUUAGAAGGUGGUUGUGGAGGACCAAGGCCCCGAACUCUGAGGAGGAGGAUUAUGGAGGAUCGGCGGAUGUGUCCUGUUAGUAUGUCAUAGGAUAACCUCUUUUGAGAGUCGACCUUCCUGUAGGCUUUCAACUAGACUCGUUUUGUACUUGAAUCUCGUUGUUCAUAAAAGUGUGCUUUUGUGAAUUGAUGUCCUACUUUUCUAUCCUGAGAUGAUUACUGUCAGGGGAUUUAUUUUCGCUUCCGCAUAUGCUUAAAAAUGAAUGGGUUGGUGACUCAUCAUCGGAAGUCACAAAUUUUAUCGACCAAAGAGGGAUGGGCAUGUGCUUGAGGUUUGGGGCAUGACACGCUUCUUUGUCGUUGUCGUCAUUGCUGUUGUCGCCAAGCGGCAUUGCGGACUUCAACUUGUGCUCCACGUCGUCUCCUUCGCCGCCAUCGGCUUCGCUCUCCUCCCCAUGCUCCUCAUGCCAAGCUGGCGAGGCUUGCCCUUGCCAGCCAUGGGCGAGGCUCGACCUCGCUAAAUCCGAUAAGGGCGAGCCUCGCCGCCAAGGCCUCGAGGGUAACCUUGUGCCGAGCGGGCAAGCCUCGCCACCCAGCGCGAGGCCGCCCUCGCAGCCAUUGGCGAGGUGGCUGGUGAGGUUGACCUCGACCUCACCAGUCGUCGCCUCUGGCUGAUCGCCGAGGUUCAACAACCGGCUGGAGGAAGAAGAGGAGAAGAAAAAAAUAAUAAUAAAUAAUAAAUAAUAAAAAGAAAAAAAUCAAUAACAUUAAAAUAUUAUCAAAAGUAGUCCACAUCAGCGUUGAUCAGACCACGUUAGUCGACCAGCAUCCAGUUAACAAAUUCCAGCCGACCAGCAUCCAGUUAACAAAUUCCGGCCAAAGUUGGCCGGAAAGAACUAAAGUGGCACAACAUAAAAAGGUUUAGGACUUUUUUGGCACUUUUCCACUAUGUAAUCGAAUUUUUUUUUUUUUUUUGCACCGAGAGUUGUUAGUCCUAAUUAAUUAUGAAGGUUUUCAAGUAUAUUGGUGCAUGAGAAAGAUCGAUAUUAUUUCAAGAGCACUACAUAGGGGCAUAUAUGUCCUUUAGAAUGAUAUUCACCGAACAAUUGAUAGGAUAAGAUAUAAAAACGUCAAACUAUAGAUCCGUAGUUCACCAAAUAAUAAAUAGGAUAUGACAAAAUUAUUCAAACCUUUUCUAACUAGAAAUCUGGAAGACCAAAUGCAAUUUUAUAUCCAAUUUUGUUAGAGCAAUUAGCUAAUUGCAUUGGAUUUGGGUGAUUUUCCAUUAUAUCACGAUAAUGUAUAUACAGGACAUGAGGCUUCUGAAAGUUUGUUGACACCUAAAAAUACCCCCACGAGUAUGUGCAAGGCACGAGGGACAGAAAGCUCUAAAGCCACCAUCACAACCAUAUAUUAGUUAUAAUCCACAUUGGUCCAGCCCAAAAAAUCCAUACGAUACAAGAUAAUUAAGGAUUUUGAGAAAUUUUGGGCUGAAUUUCGACAAAUAAAGAUAUGUAAUAUCAUGAUGAAGCAACAGAACACCACGUGUUGAAGCCAGAGAUCAAUGAUGAAGAUAUAGCCUUAGUGGUAAAAAUAGGCGGGAACAGUUAAAAAGGCAUCAAACUCGAAAGAGGAGCGGUUAAUACUCACUGGACAAGUCAUGACACUAUUAUCGAACAAGUAUGGAUAAGGCAGUUUAGCAUGAAAUGUGGAGUGACUCUUGAGGAGAAAGUAACCGACUAAUUGACGGUUACCAAGUUGGCUUAUAAAUAUCACAAGCUAUCCAAUAGACAACCCCCCCCCCCCCACCAAACAACACACAAAACUACUUUAUAUUGCAUUUAUCUUUACUUAGCUUUAGUCUAACAAUAGCUUAAGAUUCUCAUCAUAGAUUCAAUUUUGGCAAGUGUCUAUAUUCUGGGAAGUGCUGUCAAUUAGGCCCUAUUUGGAAAAUUUUUGUUUUUGUUCCCUGGAACACAAUUUUUCUUCUUUUGUUCCGGGGAACAAAAAAAGAAUAUAAACACGUUUGUUUACAUUUUUGUUCCAGAGAACAAAUUUGGAACAGAAACAAGAAGUGGAAAAAACAUGUUUCUUAUUUCCAUAAACACUUAUGAGAAACACUUUUUUUUUCUCUUUCUUUUCUUCUUCUUUUUUCUCUUUCUUUUCUUCUUCUUCUUCUUCCUUUUACCAGUCACCAGCCUUGGCCAUGGCCAGCACCGGCAACCAUCCAAACGAGGGCCGGCAACCUCAUCGGAGCGUCGCCGGCCCCUGGAGAGGCUGAUCCACGGCGAGGCUCGUCGGCCCGAGCCUUGUGCGGCCACGGCGAGGCUUGACCACCCCAACCGGCGCGAGGUCGGGCCUUGCCAGGCCAAGGCGAGGCCAACCUCGCGCUGCCUAGGUGAGGCCAAGCUAGGCUGGCCUCCGACGAGCUCACCGGACGUCAUUCAGCCGGUCGCCGACCACGACCAUGGCCGACGACUGGCCAAAGAGAAAAAGAAAAAAUAAAAAAGAAAAAAGGAAAAAUAUAAUAAAAAUUUUAAAAAAUUAAACGAAACAAAAAAAUUAUACAAGUUUACCAAAUGCGUUUCUAUUCCUGGAGUAGAAAUUUUUUGCAAUUACCAAACGCGUUCUUAUACUCAUAAAUUGUUCCCUGGAACAAAAAAAAAAAACUAUUUCUAUUCAAAAAUUGUUCCUCGGAACAAAAAAGUUACCAAACGCGCCCUUAGAUUCCAAUACUAACCCAUUGUCUAGCGUCGCUGAUUAGAUUCCGGCAUUAUGUCCUCAUCCUCAUCUAGAGACGGUGUUCAUUAGAUGUUGCAUUUGUCUAGAAUUAUUGGUUAGAUUCCAACAUUAUGUUCAUGCACGCACCUAGGAAUAGUGUAUACUAGGUGUUGUCUACACUAUUCAGCGUCAUUGAUUAGAUUCUGACAUUGUAUCCUCGUAUCUAUCUUAGAUCGGUGUCUACUAGGUGUUAUCCACACUAUCUAACAUCGUUAAUUAGAUUCAGAUGUUGUGUCCUUAAACUUAGUAGAAGGUAGCGCUUUAUCAAGCAUCUUGUUCAUAUCCAAUGUUGUCGAAGUGCCUUCACUAUUGUAUUAUUUUUUUUAGGUCGGUUCAUUAUUGUAUAGACUACUUUAAUUUUAAUGGGCUUUAAUUAUUUUAAUGAUGUCAUUAAUUAGGUUUCAAUAUUAAUUACCGUUGAUAUUGAAGGUUUGAUAGGUUAGCUAAUUCUUUGAUUUCAAGAUUAUAAGGUGUAUAGUCUCAUUCGCAUUUGACCCUCUUUAUUUAAAGUUAAUACAAAACCUGAGUCUCAUUCAAUAAAAAAUUAAAAUAUAAUACUUGGUGAAAGAUAUUUUAUUGCGAGAUCCAAAAUGACUAAACAAAGUUAUAGAAAGAAAAUUGUCUUUGUUGUAACUCUAAAAACUUCUCUAGAAUUCAUGACAACUUUUCUCCAUCAGGAUAUUUCGUCGCUGGUUUGUGCAAGUUGUCUUUGUUUGGCCAAAAAGAAGAGUAGUAUUUGUCUAGAAAUUUUUGGCCCUUUAUUACCUCAUUUGGAGAGGCUUCCUACCUUCCAAUACACUGGUGGGGCUAAAAUAACGGACUCUACACUUACAAAUGAAUUGAGCGGUUAUAACAUGAACCAUGCGGGUGUGAAUCCCAUAUAAUUACUAUUAGAAGAAUAGCCGUGAAGGUCACUUCUGCCCACCGUAUUGUGUAGAAAAAAAAAGGCAUGACUUACUAGUCACUACUAAGCAAAAUUUUUCAGUCCGAUUCCACAAACUACUUUCCACUAGUGUUAAUUCACAAUUUGGAGUUUGGAUCUCAUUAAAUUACAUGAUCAUUUUUCAUGCUAAAAUCUGCUGUUCAUCCUCUUUUAGGUUUGAGAGAUUGAUAUUCUUUUAAUAUUUUUACUUCUUGUGAAAAAAAAAAAAACUAAUACACAGGGGCAGUAAAUUUGUAUUUUAUUUGAAACUGCAAGUGUUUCGGGAGAUUAUUUCAAUUAAUUACGAGCAUGCUUCAAAUGAAUAAAAUAUAUAUUACUAUUCUCUAAUGACUGAACUUUCUAAUAACACGCUAUAACUCAACAAGCGGCAUUACUCUUAUUCAAAAAUAUUAAAACCAAAAAAAAUAAAAAUUUGAUUGAUGUUGAAUCGACCCAUGCAAGUAAAAGGCUUUUAACUCUCAAAGUAAUUUGAGCUCAUGGGAAGCAAAUACAAUUUGUUAAUGCAAAAAUGACUCGCUCAACUGAUGGUCCCCCUUCAAUAAUCACAAUGCACAAAUUCCUCUAAUGGGUCUGUUUAUUAUUUGCCCUGGAGACAAUAUACUCAACGAGUCUUAUUUUCCAUAUAUAUGGAGAUGUUGCAUACUAGAAUAUUGUACCGUACAAUUUUAAGACGCUUGAUCAUAAUCAAGUACAAGACGUUGUGAAACAUGAUGUUUUACAUUUGUCGACACUUUCGUCAUGCGUCAAUUUUAUGCGAUGCCUUUAUCGGCAACAGAGUGAGAGGCACUUUCUUGAACACGGCUAGGCCAGCCCCUUCUUCCAUGUUCACAUCUCCCUCUGUCAUUCCCUCCGGCAAUUCCCAAUCGAAGGAGUGCAAGACAUUGGCAAGCGCCAGCUCGAUCAUCGCCAUGACCAUCGACAUCCCAGGGCAUCGCCUCCGCCCGGCCCCAAAUGGUAUCAGCUCGAAAUGAUUCCCCUUGUAAUCGAUUGGACUGUCCUCGAACCUCUCCGGCACAAACUCCUCCGGACGCUCCCACAGUCCUGGGUCCCGUCCCAUGCCCCACGCAUUCACGUAGACACAGCACUUCGGGUCGACAUCGUAGCCAGAUAGCUUGAAGUGGCCAAUGGUUUCCCUUGGUAUGAGUAGAACACCUGGAGGGUGUAGCCUCAUAACUUCUUUAAGAACUAACUUCAAAUAUUUGAGCCCGCUGAGGUCCUCUUCUACGACCCAUUUCUUGUUUCCAACGCAACUUCGGAUUUCCUCUCGAGCUUUUCGCAUCACCCUCGGGUUCCUAGCGAGCUCAGCCAUUGUCCAGUCCAUGACAACUGCACCGGUGUCCACUCCUCCGAGAAAUAUAUUCUGAUAGUGACCAUGAAGUCAUGAUUCACAAAAAAGACAAAUACAUCAAUUUUUGCCAGGAUAUCGUUUAUAGCCAAAAAAGAGGACGGUGAAUCCAUUUAAGGAGUUCUUAAAUUAUUCCUGCAAUAUAUAGAACCAUCAAGUUGGCUUCUCAAUCGUGUAUAUGAUCUACAUUAAGUAAUACGUAGAGAUUGUAUGAUAUACCAUCAAGAUGGCCUUGAUGUUAUCUUCCUUGAGCCGGACCCCCGCGAGCUCAGUCUGAUCUUUCUCCAUCUUCAGCAGCACAUCGACAAUGUCCUCCUUUCCCUCGUUGCUCUUAUUCGCAUUCCGAUGCUCUUCGAUCACCUUCUGAUAGAGAUCGUCCAAAUUGCGAAAGCUCUUCUCCAACCUCGAAUGGAGCCCCGUGAACCUGUCCACAAUCCAGCCGAGUCGAGGGAAAUAAUCAGAUGCCGAGAAGCUUCCCAACAUCGCCAUUCCCUCGUGAACCAUAUCCAUGAACCCUUCGUCUUCCAACUCCGUCCCCUGAAAUGGCUUCCCAAAUGCGACCCUGCAUGUAAGGUGUGUAAUCAAGUCAGAAUUUCUUGUGAGCGAUUCAUGCUUGGCUCUCAGGCUAGACAAGCUUCGGCUUGGGGUAUUGACUUGAAUCAAGUCUGAACUUGAUAAUAGCUAAACAAUCAGGUAACUUGCGACACUGAAUCUUAUCGAGUAUAGUCAAGUUCGAACAUAGAACUCACUGUCAGGUUGAGCUCUAGUUCAUAGAACCAGGCUCAAUAUAUUGUCAAACCUCGAAGAAUUUGAGUAGUAACUAAAGAUGGAAAGAUCGGUUAAAAACUCACUUUUUAACUUAAAUUUAGUGGGUUGAGUUAUAUGUGGUUUAGUGAAAAGUUAAAAAAAAAAAAAAAAAAGUCGGUAUGUGCUUACAGUAGUAAAGCCCAACUAGACAUGGGUUUUGCGGGGUCCAAAUUCCUUACGAUAUUCAAGAGUUCGUAACUGACGAAUUUCGUCACUUCCACAAUUGAAAUUCUCUCUCCUACAUACUCUAUUCCACAAUCAUUCCUAAAUUAGAAAGUUUUCUUUUUCUUAUAUAAAUGAUAAAAACAACUUCAUUUUCUAAUUUCCCACGCCAGGAGAAAUAACAGAUCUUAUCAUAGUUUGAUUUGUCAAUUUUUUUGGUAAUUUACUAUUCGCUAAUUUCUUCAUAUUUAAUCAGUUUUUAAUCGGUAGGUUUUUCAAUAUGCUAUUUUCCAUAUAUGAAGAGAAAAACUGCUAAUCAGUUUUUAAUCGGGUUGGGUUGGUUGGAUUGGAUCGGGUGUGGGUCGUUAAGAUGGAUCAGUAUAAUUAGAUAGAUAACUUAAUCUUGACCACUAUGCCCAACCUGCAAGUGAAGUUAGCCGUCAGAGCCAUGAACUUCUCGCUCAUAUUAACCGGAGUUCCGCUCUCUGCUGAUUUUGCGAUCGAUUCGAUCAUAGAUCCCACCUCCUCUUCCCUGAUGUAUCGGAAGGACUGGACUCGCUUCAUGCUAAACAGCUCGAGCACACACAGCGUCCUUAACUCCCUCCAGUAAUCGCCGUACUCCACGAAGGCCACGUCGAGGGAAUCAUAGGAGAGGCGUCCCGUGCCGACCAUCUGCGGGCGACUGCAACUAUCAAGGUCGUGGGUCUUGAGGACCUCCCUGGCAGCAUCAGGGGAGGAGAUUACGAUGGUAGGGGUGCCACCGAGGCGGAUGAGCAUGACGGGGCCAUAUCGUCUGGAG
rnacentral:lncRNA from 1 species